UUUCUUCUUGUGUGUUUGAGAAACUUUGAGAUAAAAACCAAAAAAUUUAGUUGUAGCCUUUAACUAGUUUACUUUCCAUGCUUGUAGUAGUAGUAAUAUUGAAAGAAAACCCAAAAAGAUUUCUCGUUCUUCUUUAGCUUGUUGGGAGCUUUCCCGUGUAAAUAGUUUUUCUCGUUCUUUGGAAUUCUUUUCUUUUCUUUGGGGGUCGAGAGGAGAAGACCACGAUGAAAAUGAUGAGUGGCUCUCAUAUGCAUUAUUGUUGAUCUAACCAAGAGCCCAUAUUACCUUGUCUUCUCCUUUGAAUUAAAUGUUUGCAGAUUCCAGCUUAGUCCAAUGCACGUGCACCAUUAUUAUUAUCCACACCGUUCGGUCCUGCAAGUGAAAGGCAAUAAUGACGAUAUAUGAUGAAAUGAUUGAGAUGAGAGAAGCUGGUAUGAACUCGACCUAUAUCGUUUUUGCAAAUAUGAUUAUCCAUCGUUCCUAAUUCCGCCCAUUAUGAAUGAAACAUGUUUGCAAUGACAAUUAGAGAUUAUAGUUACUCAUGCCAUGCUUAAUUAGCUAGGAGUUUAUAAUGGUUUACCUUGAGUGCCAACAUGCUAUUAAAAUGGUUGUGAUGUGGUAUGAUAGGGUGGUAUCCUCCUUUCAAUGAUUCGAGUGGCUUGACUUGGAACAUGUUCACGAAUGUAGUUGAAGCAAAAUCAACAUAGCCUGCACGAUAUUUAUGUUCAUGGUGAUUUAUAUCCUACUCAUGCUUGGACUCAUUGUUGGUUAAUCUUAAUGCAUGUUCAUGACUGUUGUCGCUCUCUAGUUGGUCGCUUCCCAGUCUCUUUCAAGCCUUCACUUGUACUAAGCGAGAAUACUGCUUGUGCAUCCACCUCCAUAAACCCCAAAGUUAUUCCAUAUGAGUCCACCAUACCUUCCUAUAUGCGGUAUUUACCCGCCGUUCCAAGUAAAUUUGUAUGUGCCAAACUCUAAACCUUGAAAUGAAAUUCUGUUUUGUAUGCUUGAAUAGCUCAUAUAUCAAUUAGGGUUGUCUAUAUCUUCCAUGCUAGGUGGGUUAUUCUCACGAUGAGUGGACUUCGCUCAUCAUUCACAAGAAAAUGGCCGGUAACCGGGAUGCCCAGUCCCAUGCUCAAAUCAAAUCAAAAUAAUUGCAAACAAAACUCCUCUAGGAUUGUUGUUAGUUGGAUGGUACCCAUUGUUUCGGACCAGCCGUGGAAUGUGCUCAUUGGUGGUGGGAGAGUAUAAUCUUUACCAUUCUGUUUGGGAACCGCCUAUAAUGUAUGUAGGAUGGAAGAUGUCGAGAUCUCUUGGUUGUUAUGUUGACAAUGAAAGUAUGCCGCUCAAAAUAUUAUUUAUCUUUGUUUCAAAACUCGAGCUCUGGCACCUCUGCAAAUCCCUGCUUCCCUCUGCGAAGGGCCUAUCUAUUUAUUUUUAUGUUGAAUCAUCAUCCUCUUAUUAAAAAGCACCAGUUGGAGAGCACCACUAUCAUUUGCAUGCAUUGUUAUUAAUUUACAGUGAGUAUGACUGUGACUGGAUCUCUUUUACCAUGAAUUACAAUGUCUAGCCAGUCCUUGAUCUUCACGGGUGCUCUGCAUUUAUGUUUUGCGGUCUCAGAAAGGGCUAGCGAGAUACCAUUUUGUUAUAUCAUAUUAUGAUUAUUUUGAGAAAGUGUUGUCAUCCGAGAUUUAUUAUUAUUGCUCGCUAGUUGAUUAUGCCAUUGAUAUGAGUAAACAUGAGACCUUAAUAUUAUUGUGAUUAUGGUUAGUUCAUAAUGUUUGCUGAAAACUUGAAUGCUGGCUUUACAUAUUUGCAACAACAAGAUCAAACAAAGUUUGUAAAAGUUUUUCUUUAUCACUUUCAGUUUGUCAACUGAAUUUCUUGAGGACAAGCAAAGGUUUAAGCUUGGGGGAGUUGACACGUCUCCAAUGUAUCUACUUUUCCAAACACUUUUGCCCUUGUUGUGGACUCUAACUUGCAUGAUUUGAAUGGAACUAACCCGGACUGAUGCUAUUUUCAGCAGAAUUGCCGUUGUGUUAUUUUUGUGAAGAAAUAAAAGUUAUCGAAAUGACUGAAACUUCACAGAGUCACGUUUUGGAAUUAAUAAAAAAUAUUGGCGAAAGAAUCAACAGAGGGGGACCCACACCCUGUCCACAAGGGUGCAGGGUGUGCCCACCCCCUGGGGCACGCCCCUUGCCGCGUGGGUCCCCUGGACCUCCACCGACCUCAACUCCAACUCUAUAUAUUCAUGUUCGGGUAGAAAAAAAAUCAAGGAGAAGGAUUCAUUGCGUUUUACGAUAAAGAAGCGCCGCCAAGCCAUGUUCUUCCUCGGGAGGGCUGAUCUGGAGUCCGUUUGGGGCUCCGGAGAGGGGAAUCUGUCGCCAUCAUCAUCAUCAACCAUCCUCCAUCACCAAUUUCAUGAUGCUCACCGCCGUGCGUGAGUAAUCCCAUCGUAGGCUUGCUGGACGGUGAUGGGUUGGAUGAGAUUUACCAUGUAAUCGAGUUAGUUUGGUUAGGGCUUGAUCCCUAGUAUCCAUUAUGUUCUAAGAUUGAUGUUGCUAUGACUUUGCCAUGCUUAAUGCUUGUCACUAGGGCCCGAGUGCCAUGAUUACGGAUCUGAACCUAUUAUGUUUCCAUGAAUAUAUGAUUGUUCUUGAUCCUAUAUUGCAAGUUAUAGUUACCUACUACGUGUUAUGAUCCGGCAAACCCCAAAGUGACAAUAGUCGGGACACUUCCCGGUGAUGACCGUAGUUUGAGGAGUUCAUGUAUUCACUAAGUGCUAAUGCUUUGGUCCGGUACUCUGUUAAAAGGAGGCCUUAAUAUCCAUUAGUUUCCAUUAGGACCCCGCUGCCACGGGAGGGUAGGACAAAAGAUGUCAUGCAAGUUCUUUUCCAUAAGCACGUAUGACUAUAUUCGGAAUACAUGCCUACAUUACAUUGAUGAGCUGGAGCUAGUUCUGUGUCACCCUAUGUUAUAACUGUUGCAAGAUGAAUUGCAUCUAACAUAAUUGUCUAUCAUUGAUCCAUUGCCUACGAGCUUUUCACAUAUUGAUCUUUGCUUAGUUACCUCUCCGUUGCCACUGUUACGAUCGCUACAAAACUGCUACUGUUACUUUUGCCACUGUCACUGUUACUUUCAUACUACUUUGCUACUAAAUACUUUGCUACAGAUAUUAAGUCUUUCAGGUGUGGUUGAAUUGACAACUCAGAUGCUAAUGCUUGAGAAUAUUCUUUGGAUCCCCUUGUGUCGAAUUAAUAAAUUUGGGUUGAAUACUCUACCCUCGAAAAUUGUUGCGAUCCCCUAUACUUGUGGGUUAUUAGUGAGAGCUUGUUUGAGGUCUCCGCCGUGCGCCAGGACAUCGCUGUUGCGGCUACCGCAUAGUGGCGGGACCUCUCUAGUGCUUCCGCGGCCUUGGUCUUUGCUCCCUGGUUACAUGUUGACCCGAAACUCCUCCUACAGGUCAUGGCAAAGAAUUGUGUUUUGGGUGAUGAGGAGAGGAAUUGUGAAGUAAUUUUUCAGUGGGUCAUUUUUAUAGCCCAGUGCUAAGUGGGAACACGUUUAUGUUUGAUUGGCGUGAACAGAUUUGCAAUUACUUAUUGUGUGGUAAUCUGGAAUGUGACGAGAAACAAGCUCAAAAUUUAUUGAUGGUUCUGGGCUCGAAGCCCGGAAUGGUUCUUGGAUGGCUUACGCGGGCCCGCAUUCUCAGACGUGUACGUAUCUGCCCACUAUCACACAUGGUCCAGAUAUCACCAUUGUGUCCGAUGGAUGGGCUGUCCCGCCUCCCACGCCGUGCCAGAAGGUUGACCAGAUUUGCAAUGUGCAUGUGUGGUUGCUUGCAGUUUAGGCUGUUCGUCGUUGAGGCGGCCACGGCGCGCUCUACUCGCGUCCGUCCGUGUGUUUUACUCGCCAUUGAGGCAGCCACGGUGCACUCCGCUCUAGCAUCCCUGCGAGCGCUCUGCUCGCUGUUUAGUCAAGUUUACAAUGGCAACGGUUAAUAAUUGUCUUACAUAUUCAGGAUAAUUUAAAAUGCCACAUGCGGCAACACCCAAAACACUCAUGACCUACAUGUGCUUAGUCUAAAAUAUAGGCUAAAAGGCUGAGUUGGCAGCCUUCCGACGCGGUCUUCUCGGACUCCAUGAUCACCAUAGCACCCUUGCGGCCGUUCAUUCCGAGUGUCCCAACCCGCAGCCACGGUACCCGUCUCCGCCUAUGAAGCUCAUGGCGCUGGGAGGCUCUUGGGGCUGCUGGGCCUCUUCUAGUAGAGCUUGACAACGUGCAAUCGCGCUCAUGACAUGCCUGUGGAACUACUCCAUUUCCAUGUGUCUGCCCUGGUAGCAAAUUCUUUCCAUCACCUGCAUCCUCAAGAUACCAUGUUGGCGAUGUUCUACUUCAUCGAUGACGUUAACUCCGCCAAGGGUGCGCUCGAGCCUGGCCACCACAUCAUUGGGAUCGAGGUUGACACGGCCGCUGCCGGCAAUGAUGAAGCCACAGACUAGUUGUCUCAUAACUGAAUUGCAGAGGUCUUGUGCCCAUUCCCGACGGGGCAUCAGGCUCUCAAUGAGCACCGAUGACGGCGGCUCUUCGGGUGGGUCAUCAAUCAUGCCACCUAGUAGCUCUGGAUCUUUUGCACGGUGAAUGACAAACUGCUCAUCACACUUCCUCUGCAAUAUGUCCAUUGUGCGCCCAAGGACUGUCACAGUGAUAUCACUGCCGAUGGGCCACAGUGCCUGCACCGAUCGAUGCAGCUCUUGCUCCCCAACCUGCUCCGGCUCGUUCUCCUCGCCAAAGAUGUAACGCGGGUAGGGGUCGAUGUCGAAGCUUUGGUCGUUGCAUGGCAUGCUUGGAAUAACUAAUGGUAGAUGGGUGUGGACUAGACCCGCGCACAAUGUCGUGAUGGUGCAUUGUUGUCUGGGUCAUAUGCAGCAAACCACUAGCUGGUGGCGGGAAGCAUUGGCGUGGAUUGCGGGACAUGUGUAUGAUGUCAUUAAUUUCUGCACUGGGCGUCUGUGUUGGUAUAGGUACUACCUCCAUCGUGGUUUAUUGGACCCCUUCAUAUUUAGUAGUACCAAAAUUUGACUAUAAAUUUAACUAUUAAUAUAUUAAUGCAUGUCAUCAAAAAUAAUAUUGUUGGAUGGCUAUUCCCCGCUAACUACUAUAUGCAAUAAUUAUGCAUAUGAUUGCUCGCCGUUUAGGCAGCCAUGACACACUCUGCUCGCGUCCCUCCGCGUGCUCUGCUCACCGUUUAGGCGCCAAGGCGCGCUCGGGUCGCGUCCCUUCAUGCGCGCUCUGCUAGCGGUUGGGGUCAUGGCACGAUCAUGAUGGGGAAACUUUUGUUAUUUGAUAUCAGAUUAUGUUAAUUAAUUAUACCUCCAAACUCGGAAUCAUCCAGCUCUGGAGGUAUAAUUAAUUAACCUAAACUAUGAUCUCUGGCGCCCGUUCGUGUCAUGCAACUCCAUCCCGUUGUCGGUUGUUGGGACUAUGCCGGUAUGUGUGGGUAACUGUCUAGCAAGUGGAUCAGUAGUGAGUGGCCGCCGCCGGCCAUUGUUGUGGUUAUUUGUAGCUAGGAGCUGGCUAGGGGAUUGGGGAUUUUAUAGUUCACCCAUGUGGAGCGCGGGAAGCCUUCGCUGGAGCGCGAAAGCCUUCCCUGGAGCGCGGGAAGACUAAUCAUCGCACACGAGUACUCGCAUACGGAUCGUGUGCGAUACUCCUAGCCAUCGUAAGCAACUAGUUUGCAUUUUUCAAAGUGUUUUGUACACACAGAAUCGCACACGAAUUAACUAUAAUAACUGUCUGUGUUAUAUUUUCUCAUUGCAAAUAGUUCAUCCGAGUGGGCUAUUUGCCGCGAAUUACACGCAUCUUGUUUACAUGAAUCAUUUGUGUUCUUUUGGCUCAUCGCAAGCAGUUCAUCUAUGUGAAAUGUAUGCCACAUAUCACACAUCUUGUUAAGUUGAACCAUUUCCGUUGUGUUCCCUAAUCGAAAACAGAUCGUCCGAGUGAACCAUAUGCCGUAUAUCACACACACCUUGAUCUGGCUAACAAUUUCUAUUGCAUUCCCUAAUACUCCCUCCGUUCCUUUAUCUAAGGUGUAUUUUUUUUACAAAAAUUUCACAAUGUAAGGUGUAUUUGUUGUAAUCUCACUUAAUCCCUCUUUUACCCCUCCACCGCCACAUACAUGGUAGCAUCCUCUUAAUGCUAAAAUCAAGCCAAGCACUUAAUGCGUUUGUUGGGAAAAAAGGGCCCCAUCAUUAAUUAGGAAAAUGUAUAUCCUCCAGCCCCAUACAAUCCCAUCAUUUUAGUGUUUCCUCUUUGAGAGCGUAUAGAACAAUUUUCUCUACCUGAGGGCAUCUCCAAUGGUCGUGUGAUCAUCGUUGGUAAACCUGCCAUGUAGACUCUUUCGAUGAGGUGGCGUAAAAUAAAAGAAGAGAGAGAAUGGGAUCGUAUGAUCCUCAACCAACGAUCUGGGCACAAGCUCCGAGGUAAUUAUAUUCAUUUUUGUGGGACCUAGCUGAACUUGGUGUGAGCUGCGGUAGCUACCUCCCCUAUUUCAUUCUCUCGGGUGUUGAUCAUCAGCUUAUUUAUAUUGAUUUAAUAUGUGUGGUUCCCAUCAAGCUAAAAUACGCUUCAUUGGAGAACUUGUAUGAUACGCUAUUGGCUGCUGAUGUGGACCUUGAACCAACGAAUGUAUUAUACAGACUAUUGCAGAUGCUCUGAUCCAAGCCUUCUCUUGGGAACGGAAAACAUCACAUGAACAAAACUUCUGAACGGAUGCCCUUUCUCUUCCACCAUGGAUCCGUUCACGCUAGAGGAAGAUAGGUUCAACUCGUUGUUGCAUGUUUUUAGCCAAGAGGAUGAUCCCGCUAUGGAACUGUUCAGUCAGGUGGAAGAAAGGGACGAGUCCUUGGGCCUGUUCAGUGAGGUGCAAGACCACGGCCGGUGUCUCGCCGAGGACUCGUCGCCUCUGUUGUCCGACGUGAAGCUCGCCGACCAGAUUUUGCAUGAUGCGGCCACGGCCGACAAUGGUUGUGUCCAACAAGCCGGAUUAUUGCGCACACAUGGUGCUUGAUAUCUGGUCUGUAACUUCUUCCAAGGCGGGAAUCGCCACCGUCAACGAGGUUGUGAACUGCGCGGUGUCCGAACCGUACGUCGCAUCGGCCUCUUCAAGCAUGCCAUGUUAAGCAAUGCUCGACGCACUGACCUUUGCAGUAUGUACGGAAUAUCCUCAUGUCAAAUAACAUCACCGAUUUUUGGUUAGUUCCACUUAUGCGUUUGCUCUUAUCCAUCAUAUUUGUACAUGUAGUAUGACAUGCCUUGUUCUAACUUUUAGCGCGACAACUAGAGGCGUCGAUCAAGGGGAGCACCAAUAUGGCGAGGAGAGCGAUAAGAGCAAUGCGGUAAAUGACAAGGCCAUCAAGAAUGAUGAGGUGGAUAGCGAUGCUGAGACCAUCCAUUUAGAGUUUGAAGCAUUGCAAGCUGCUAGAGCAAGUGAAGUGCAUGUAGCAAAUAUUUCAUUCGAGUGAAUUGUAUGUCGUAUAUCGCACACACCUUUGUAUAGCUGCUUGUUUCUGUUGUUCUGCCUCAUCGCAAACAAUUCUUAUGGAUUAACCGUAUGUCAUGUAUCGCACACGCAACUGUAAUAUGAACCGUGUUUGAUGUAUCCGCCAUCGCAAACAUUUCACAUCUUUUUUGACUUUUUUACAUCAUCGUUCGCGAUUAAUGCAUCGAAUACAAUUUUAUCGAAGUGUCUCUGAUUGUAGUGUCGCGUUAGCAGCAUCCCGUAGUAGUGCAAUGCGAUUGUGGAUCUAUCUCAAGCUCUUGAGGAAGAACAAACCACCAAAGAAUCUCUUGAGGAGACUUUUGCUUUAGAAUUAUCUAAGGUGAAGGACUCCUGUGAUAGAGAUCUUGAGGUGGCUAAUGAUUUCAAAACUAAAAAUGAUAAGCUUGAAUUUGCGCAUGUCAUACUCCAUGAGGACUUUGAGCAUCUCAAAAAUGGACCAAGGGUCAUUAAGAGUGAGAUCAUUGAACUCACCGAGUCUCAUGCUCAACUUGAAGCUUCGUAUUUAAAAGAUCUUGCCAAAUUUCCUUCUUCUCUUGUUGUUAAUGAUGGUGCUUGUGCUACUAACUCUACUUCUUAUGAACCAUCCAUUCUAAAGGAGAAUGUUGAGCUAACAGCUCAACUUGAGUUGCUAUAUAGCAAUUAUGGGAAAUUGGAAGAAAGUCAUGAAAAUCUCUCUAGCACUCAUGAUGAUCUUCUAGUAUCCCAUAAUGUGCUAAAGGUAGCUCAUGAGGCCAUGCUUAUGAAGGUAACAUCUAGUGAGCCUCAUGUGGACAUUAUCACUUUUCUAGUCAAAAUGCUAUACUGUCAUGUGCUAGUCCUCGUAAUUCAUCUACCCAUAACAUUGGUACUUCUUGUGAUGAAUUACUUUCCUUGCCUUGUUGCUCUAACGAUGAAGCUUAUACUUCCUCUAGUACUUGUGUUGAUACUAAUCAUGUAAGAAAAUCAAAGAGCUUAAGACCCAAGUCACUUCUUUGAAGAAAGACUUGGAAAAGUGUCAUGAAGGGAAGUCCACACUUGACAAUAUUUUGAGUGGAACAAAAUCUCCCAAUUACAUGGGUGGACUUGGAUUCAACUCCAAUAAGAAGAAGUCCAAGAGCAACAAGAAGAAGGGACAAGAAAAACUCAAGAAUUAGGCCAAGAUUAUUUGCUUCAAGUGCAAAAUUGGGGCAUCAUGUUAGAUCUUGCCCAUUGAAGAAGAAGCCCAUUAGUGAUAAGCAAUAAAGGAAGAGGCCUCAAGUCCAAACUCAAGUUAAAGAACGACCACUUCCCAAGAAGACUCAAGUUAAUGCUUCUCAAGUUGAGAAAUCAAGUGAGAAGAAAGUGAAGAGUAGAUGUUGCUACUUAUAUUGUGAGAAGGGUCAUCUUGCUUUUUCAUGCACUAAUGGUACCGUAUCCAACCCUAUUAUGAUUGAUGAUGUUUAUUCUCUUAGGAAGGAUAUGGUUGGCAAUGUGUUUGCCAUGUUUGUUGGUACUCAAAGUGGUGUCAAGAAAAGAACCAUUUGAGUAGCCAAGCCUACUGUGACUAACCUCUUAGGACCCAACUUGAUUGAGGACCAACAAGCUAAAACUUGGUCCCAUGGUGGAAUCACGAUAUAUUGCAUUGCGAGGGCACGAGGAGAUUGCGGUGGCCCUAGUGGAUUUUUGGGGAGCAUUGUGCCUCCACACUACUCCAAACAGAGAUUAGCAUCUGCAAGGGUGUGAACUUUGGGAUACAUCAACGUCUUUGGAUGCCUCGGUUAUCAUAUACUAUAUGGAAGGUUGGACGAAGAGGUGGUGGGAAGAAAUGUGGAAUGAGAACCUUAUGUUCUUUUUAAAUAGUAGAGAUAGAGAUAGAGAUUUUUAAGUGGUACUAGUCAAUGUGUACGUGCAAUGCACGUUAAUUCAGAAGUAUAUUAAGUGCAUGCAGAUAUUAAGUAGGAUAUUAUUGCAUGUUAUUACGUGAUUAGCACUAUAUUUGGCAUGAAAUUAACUGCACGCUAAACGUGUUGAGCGCUCGACAUUGAAGCAGCCUAGGUCGUUGGAUUGACAUGACUUGAUGGCCGAGAUUAAUUGGAUCUGCCUCUUUGGGUCUUUUUAUAUUGGUAUAGAUAGAGAUGAUUUACGAUGUAUCAUAUGCACAAAUCUCGAGAUAAACACUUCUUCUUUGUUCUACAAUUUUUCACGACAAAAACUUCUAAAUGAAUUAGAAUGCAUAAACAUUUUUCACAGGGAUAUGAACAUCCAAACACUAGUAAGGUACACGAGCAUUGUAAAUCGAAGUUCAUAUAGCUAAAAUAUGAAUAAUUAUUGAUAUACCGGAUUGUAAUAAGUACACAUGUAAGUUUGGAGUCAAUUAUGUGAUUCAACCCAUUGAAAUUCAAAUCAUAGCUACAAAUACUUGAAGACUCCAUCAUAUAAUACUACACGAAACUAAUGUGAAAUGUAUCCGGCACAAUUGUUUCUAAGUAUCUCAUAUUGCAAUUUGGAGUGGUUAGCAGCAUUGCAUCUUCUUUUUUGCGUGAGAAACUUCCAGUCUAUUCAUCUUCAAUCAUGAUAGUUUAAAGAACAUUAGAAAUAAUAAAAAUUACAACCAUGUCCGUGGACCACCUAGCAUUACUACAAGCACUGGAGCGAGCCGAAGGUGCGUCGCUGUCAUCGCACCUCCCUCGCUGCAGACGAGUGAAUCUUAUUUUAGUAGACAGUUAGGAAGUCGUCAUGCUAAGACCCUAUAGGACCAUAUUCAAAGAUUAUGAAUGUGUUUUCAUAGUCUUGAACAAAAAUAAUCGCAAAGUAAAAGUGAAAGGCAAUUCUUUUAGAAAAAAAACUUACACAUGAUAGACAGAUAUAAUAUAGUGAAUAAAGGUAUUUUUGCAAAGUUCAUACGUAUUAUCGGCUCAAAUGGGACAAAGCAUCUUGUAAAUUCCUAUAUUGUUGAGUUUUUUUGAGGGACUAAAUUCGUGCAUCGUCCUCCCCUCGACCUAAAACGAGCAAGGCAUUUCUUUAGAACUACAAACAAGAACAUCCUUGGCCAGGUGAACAAGAUCAUCCGCAGCUUUCUCUGGAUCGGCCGCAAGGACGCCUGCGGUGGCCAAUGCCUUGUCGCCUGGCCUCGGGUGUGUCAGCUGCUCUCCUACGACAGUUUGGGCGUCCGUGAUCUCCACCGAGCCAGAAUCGCGCUCUGCGUUCGUUGGCUUUGACUCCAGCGCAUGGACGCGGCGAGACCGUGGCAACACCUGCACCUUCCCUCCGAUCCCGAGGCUGGUGCCAUGUUUCGUGCGUCCACCACAUGAGCCGUCGAAGAUGGUAUGUCAUGCAAAUUCUGGCUGGACCACUAGAUUAACGGGCAAACGGCGGUGAAGAUCGCCCCCUUGUCUUCGAUCUUGUCCCUCGCGGGUGUCGCAGGAACCGCCUGGUGCGCGACGGCUUACACCAAAGGGCAUGGGUCCAGGACAUCCAGGGCACCCUAGGCCCCUCGGCGUUGCUGCAAUAUGUCGACCUGUGGCGUCAGGUGCAGCUCGUUCAGCUUACCGACUCUCCUGACGCGAUUCAUUGACGGUGGACGAACUCUGGUCAAUACAUUGCCAAGUCCUGCUAUGAGCAGAUGUUCGCCGGCUCCAUGCGCGACCCCCACCGGCGUCCCAUCUGGAAAUCUUGGGCACCUAUCCGGGUGAAGGUGUUCCUUUGGCUCGCUGCCCUUGACCGGUGCUGGACGGCGGCUAGGCUUGCGCGUCACAAUCUUCCACACGCCAACUCGUGCCUUGUUUGCGAAUAGGACACGGAAUGCAUCCAGCAUAUCCUUACUCGCUGCCCAUUUUCGCAGUAGAUCUGGUUCGAUAUUAUUUCUUGGUGCCGGCUACCAAUCCUCUCGCUGGGCCCUGGUGCGGAUCACCUCUGUUGGUGGGAGCAGCCCCACAUCACUACACCCGCGAGCGCACGUAAAGGCUUUAACACUGUUGUUAUGCUCACGUCUUGGGAGCUCUGGAAGCAUAGAAACAACUGCGUCUUUGAUGGUCUUCACCCUUCCAUCGGCCUUCUAUUCGAGAUCAUUCGGCAGUAGGCUUUGCUUUGGGCUCGUGCCAGAGUCAACGGAUUGCACACCAUUGUAGGCAUAGGCUGACCUUUUUCUCUUUGGGUUGAGCAGCCCCAGGUCUUGCUGCUCAGUUAUUGCACUUAACGCCAGCCUCUCAUGUACGUCCCAAAGUGUAAUGCCCGAUUAUAUAUUUUCGGCGACCACUAGGCGCCGGUCGACCGGCCGAGUUUCGGCCGGUCAACGCUCAGCCGUCAGAUCAAAGCGCAUACAACCGUCAUAUUAUGCUCCCGUGUAGCUUUUCCUUCCCAAAAAUUCUGAUCCGACGAGCAUAGCAGGAACAGAAAGGAGCAGUGGCCGCCACCAACACGCGCCAUGGACGAGCAGACGACCAACCUGGAAGCACCGCUGCCCUUGCCACCGGUAGCCGACCUCGUCGUCGGUUGCCGCCUGUGUUUCUCACCGGCUCCCGCAUGCUACAGGUGGCCGAGGGCGACGGGCGCAACUGUGGUGGCGACGGCCACAGCUCGCCGGCAUGCUCGCUGCCGCUAAAUCCCAAUGUCGUUGCUCGUUGGUCGCAGCUCACGGUCGCAACAAAUUGGCUCACCUCUUCCAGCAAAAUCGACCGCUGGUUCCAGCAAAAAUUGUAUCAUCGCCGAGACAUCCCAGCUCGCUGCGCUGCUGGUUGCAGCUUGUCGUGCCGCCGGUUGUAGCAUUUCUCGAUGGUGGUUGUAGCAUGGCGUGAUGCAGAUUGUCGCAAAAAAUGAGGAUGUCGGGUUGUGCGAUGUAGCAAAAUGCCACGCCGGUUGUAACAAUUUGUGACGUCGGUUGUAGCAUGUAGCAAAAAAUCACGAUGUUGGAUGUUGCUAGGAUCAACGCAGCCGUCGUCGCCGUCAGUAGUCACCAUGAUUGCCGUCCAUGGUUGCAGCUCCCUGGACACCGGUUACAACCCCUCCAUCCAUGGUUACAUCCCUCGUUGCCAUCGGUUGCAACAUGCUCCACACCCGACGCCACAUCUCGCCGUCCCGUCACCGACGACCUCGCCCACCCCAUCAGGCAUGGGGGUGUGUGUGCGUGCGAGCAGCGCAGAUGGUGAGGAGGGAAGGGUCCAUAGCGGCCACUGCAACAUGAGGAAGAACAUCCAUGGCGGCAACGAAGUAAAAAAAGAAAGGAGAUGCUCGUCCAUGGCAGCCUCGAGAGAAAAAGCAAAGGAGAGAAGGAAGAGAGGAAGAAGAACAAGGAAUGAGUGGAUGGGAAGAAGUCUAAAGAGAUAAAGUUAAGAGGAAACUAUGGCCCACACAACAAACACGCUGCGUUGCAUGCGGCCGGCCGAAAACUUGGCCGGUCCGCCGGCCAGAAACGUUUCCUUAUAUUUUCUCCUUCCUAUCAAUAAAAGAUAUGCGAGCUUCGGAAAUGCUCCUUCGCACGCGAGCGUUGGAACGAGCGAUUUCCUUCCACGCGUUGUCGGUCGCCAGGGACAGAAGGGCCCACCCAAGGCUGCGUUUCAGAUCUGAGGAAAAGCCUACAUCACGGGAUCCUUCCCUAAUCUCUCUCCCUCCUGAACUUAAUAUCACCAUCGCCCCCUGAUUCAACGGGUGGGGCCUGGGUGGGGCUCAGUUUACCUCAAACAUCUCUCCCCUGAUUUGCUAAAAAGGGAAAGUUCUACCUGUCCGAAAUUGAUCGUUGCAACGCGCGCGCGCGAGAUAGCUAUGCCUAUUCGCAAAAAAGAGAAUUCCGAACAAGGCAUCUUGUGUUUGGGCCUCGCCUUGUGGACUCGUUCAGAUAAUGAGCCGUGUGGUCUGGCCCAAAAUACUGGGCCUCACAUGCCGGAAGAUCUCACGGAGCGAAACCACACCCGCACCAGAGUCGCCCCCACCACGCACGGGAAAACCUCGCAGGCAACCGGCCGCCUCCUCCUCCGCCGCCGCCGCCGUCGAAGCAUCAGAAGCAGCCAGAGUAAGAUGUCGUUCCGGGCGCGGGAGAUUUACAAGAAGGUGGUGCGCCGCGUGGGCGGGGAGGGGAAGCUGCCGGCGGAGGUGAUGGACACGGUGAAGAACAUACUCCCGAAUAGCAAGGUCGUCAUGGGCCGGGCCAAGCGCGGCAUCUUCGCCGGCCGCCACAUCCAGUUCGGCAACAAGGUCUCCGAGGACGGCGGCAACAAGUAUGCAAAUUCUCACCCGCCUCUUCCCUCGUGCAAUCUCUUCUGAUCCAUGCGCGCAGAUAUUCCGAACUGUAAGGCAUAUGUUCAGUCGUUGGAAUGAGAAAAAUGACGCGUUUGACGUUUCUUGAGAUCAUUUGAGGGGAGGGGACGUGACGAGUGUUGCCUAUCUUGUUUGGGAAUUUGAGUUGCGGAAUGCUGCUUUUGUUAGUUCAUGUUGCCACAAAUCACUAUGAGGAAUGGAGGAAAUACUGCUGAGGGGGUUGUGAGACGAAAGGGAGAGGUGUAGUGAGGCCACCGCCUGUAUAUAUCUGCCCUAAUUAUGCCAUAAUAAUCAUAAGGUGUAGAUAGUUAAAUUCUACUCCCUCUGUAAACUAAUAUAAGACGUUUUAGAUCACUAAGUAGUGAUCUAUAUUAGUUUACAGAGGUAGUACUAAUUGUUCAGUAAUAAGGAUUGAUAUUACAUAUCUGUUAGGACUGUUCUCUUGGAUAGCUUGCACACUGGUUACAUUUGCAUUACCAUCUCAUUCACAUGGCUGAGAGCUUUGGACCAUUUGGCUUGAAUUUUUUAUGAAUUGAUCCAGCUAUCUAUAUCUUCAUGUCCACACAAGCACAAAUGGACAGUCGGAAAUUUCCUAAUUAUUGUUUUGAUGCCUGUAGUUUCUACAGUUCUACUUGUAUAUUUCUCAAGGCACAAAUUAAUCUAAUGUCUGGAGUAAAUUCAGCCCUGAGUAAACUCACCUUCUUCUAUGCCUCGUCGUCGCUCAUGUUGACCGUGUGGCCGGCUGGCCCUUUCUCCUGGUCUGCGAUCCCAUCAGAAUCGGCCUGUUCGAAACUGCCCUCGUUGAUAGGAGGAGGCACGUCGUCGCGUUGAAUCGCAGCAGCACAUAAACGAACGAUCUGACUGUGAUGCUAAUUGCGUGACUUCUGUCGUUUUUUAGGGGUACGUGACUUGUGGUAGGUUUCCAAGUCCAUGGCCUUUUUUCUUCUGAUGGUGAGCUCCGGCUUGGGUUUUCUUGGGCCUUUUGGCCUGCUAUCUGAUUUGGAAUCCGCUAUAGAUAGGAUACCGGGGGCCUGGCAAGCCUGCUAUCUGAUUUGGAAUCCGCUAUAGAUAGGAUACCGGGGGCCUGGCAAGUACCCUUUAUGUUGCAUGUGUUACAGGGGGCGGGGGAUAGGCAUGAGAGAUGCUAGAUUAGCUAGAUAUNNNNNNNNNNNNNNNNNNNNNNNNNNNNNNNNNNNNNNNNNNNNNNNNNNNNNNNNNNNNNNNNNNNNNNNNNNNNNNNNNNNNNNNNNNNNNNNNNNNNNNNNNNNNNNNNNNNNNNNNNNNNNNNNNNNNNNNNNNNNNNNNNNNNNNNNNNNNNNNNNNNNNNNNNNNNNNNNNNNNNNNNNNNNNNNNNNNNNNNNNNNNNNNNNNCUUAACCAGCACCGACUUGAGAAUUGGAUGAGCUGAGGAUCAAAUCAGGCCUUGUUGGGAUUCACUCCAUUUUGUACUGGCUUUGAUAGUUUGGAUGAGAACGAGAUGCAUGCAAUUCUUUGAUGAUUGGAAUGUCAAGAGUCUAGAAGAUUAGGCAGACUUCAAUGAUGUAACACCACACAGUAUGGUAAUACUAGAGUUAUUUAAUUGUCUGCCUUUUUUUUUGCUCGAAGAUCAUCAAGGAGAGAGGGGAUGCUCAGCCCCAAGCAACAAAUAUUGUGGACGUACGGGUUGAUAGCCACCAAUCCCUUGGCGCCAGCCAAAGCGCAGGUUCUGGCCUCCUCCAGAAUAGUUUGGAUAAGAAGAGUAGCGGAGGGGCACGUAUUUUCGAAAUUAUAGGCAUUCCUGUGCUUCCACAGAUGCCAUUUGACAAGGACGCCGAGCGAGGCUACACCUUUACACAGAGAAGUUGGAGAUGCAGCCUAGAGUCCCACCAAUCAUAGAAGCUCUCAUCACUCACAGGCAAGACCGAGGGAAACCUGCAGGCGGCGUACACCCCAUGCCGAACACUAUUAGGUCAUGAAAACAGAGAAAGGAAACCCCUUCGUACUCAUCAGUGUUAUUUCUCAGAAAGCUGAUCAGGGAAGUUAGCAAGCUGUUUACUUGCUUCAGCUACGUUAUGCCACACUAUUUGGUUCUGUAGCGAUAAUGAUAAAUCCAAUCAAAGUUCAGUCAUAUUUAAAAUGUGUGAAACAGAAAUCGUAUAAUCUUGCAAAACCUCAUUUAUCUCCUUCCCAACCUUGCCACCAGGCCCAACACCGUUUUAAACUGUUAGUGUGGCCUCAAGAUUCAUUUGGUCCUUCAUGAUCCAAUGUUAUUAACUUCGCACACCUGUUUUUUGGAAGGAGAAGAGUAGGAGAACGAUUCCAGUCACUCGUCUUAUUCUUGAUACAUAAAUCCAAUUGUUCCUGGCAGGUACUUAUUUUGUUUUAAAACUUGCAAACAAGUGUUUGCACAUCUUAUCAUUGAGAGGAGAAGCAAAAUAGUUACACUAGUUGGGCAACAAACGCCAAGUCAUAGACAGACAACACACAUAACAUAAACACCCUAGCUACUCAUGGCAGUCAUGCAGCCGGUAGUUUAAAAGCCUAUCGCAAUCACUCGGCCUUCUUGAUUCCAUUGGGCACUGUCAGGAUGUCCUUGCUCACCCCUUGGAACACCCUGCUGUUCUGUUCACACCAGAUGGACCAAACAUUCAGGAUGACCAUGAAGUUGAAAUCCUCUCUUCUAGCUUGGGGGUGCUUGUACAUGGUCAACCACCGUGCAGGUGGGGUGGCAGAAGUGCGACCUGCCCAGCAGAGGAUAAGGCCCCAAAGGUCUGUUGCCCACGAGCAGCUGAUGGAGAGAUGUUCCGCAGACUCUGAUUCCUGUGAGCAGAUACUUUUCUUGAUGGUUUUUACUUGAUUCAGUUAUCAUGUGGACUAACUCUUAGUUGGUUGAUGAACUAAAGCACUGAACCACAUUAAUUCAGGAACUCCGUAAAAUUUGGCCAGUGCAAAGCUGCUAAUGAUGACUGAUCAUCCUUGUAACUUUUUGGUUUGCAGCUUUUCAUCAUGUCUAUAGCAUCACAGUAAUACUAGCCUACUAGGAGCUGCAUUCUUGGAUAUCUUUAACAAAAGCGAUAGUGUUACCAUUUAUCUUGGAUGUCUAAUUACGUGCUAGACAACCCAGAAAUAUCCUGGCAGCUUGCAAAUUUUAAACAGUAACUGGUAAUUAUUUUACCAUGUGGCUCAAGCCUUUCUUAAGAAUCUCCCUACCUCCCUCCGAUCUUUGUAUUUUUAGCACCUUUUGCUUACAGAGCAUUUUCUUUGUUCAGGUCAAGGCGAAACUGGAAGCCGAACGUUCAGGAGAAACGUCUUUUCAGUUAUAUUCAUGACCGACACAUUAGAGUCAAAGUAACCACUCAUGCACUCCGGUGCAUUGACAAAGCUGGCGGGAUCGAUGAAUACCUCCUGAAGACACCUUACAACAAAAUGGAUACUGAGAUGGGAAUAGCCUGGAAGGCAAAGAUUGAGAAGAUGUAUUCAGAGCUAGCUGGGAUGGAAGUUGGCUUCUUCCCUCCCGAGGAAGAGGCUAAGAUAAAGCAGGGUUUCGAGGAGGUUCGAUCGGCCAAGAGAGAGUUCCGCAGCGAAUCAAGAAGGGCUUUGGGUGUGGCAAACCAGAGUCAGCUAGAAGCAACUAAAGCUGAUGAUGACGAAACGACUGAAGUCGUGGAUACAAAUGAAGAGGUGUCUGAUGUCGCAGAGAAGUCUUAGCUUGGACCUGCGUGCCAUUAUUAAUGGUAAAUGUGGUUCUGUAGCUUUUGUUUCAGGAAUAAUCAUCAUCCCUUUGUUGAACUUUACUUUAUCCGCCAAAUAUGCUAACUGUUAGAUAUUGAAGACUUUGUUGGCAUAUCGGUGAUAAAUGACUUGCACAGUUCCACUCUGUUAUCUCUGAAAGUUUCAAAUAUGUUACUAGAAAAGGGACACACAGUUGUUUUUAUUUUAUUUAUUUAUAUUUGACUCAUUAUUGGUCCAUUUGAACCCUCUCCACGGCAUGGCAGACUGAAGUACUUUUAGGAUAUGCAUUGUCUUGAUGUCAUCUUUACUUGUGAUAUCAAGUCACAUAAGGGCAAAAAAAAUUGUCUGCAUAGGUGUUACAAUGAAUGUAAAAUGUCAUCUCCUUCAUGCAUUUUUUUGUAUUGGGUACCUGGGUCUAAUUAUCUGAUUCUCCAUAAGGCCAUCAUAAGAAAUACUACAUGUUACACUUAUUCACAUACGACUACAACUUAAAGAAUCAAUUUCAGAUAGGCCAUUUUCUAGCCAAAGUUAUGUUAGAACUGAGAUACUCCUUUUCUUGCAGAUAAAAAAAGGAAGAGAAACAUUGAUGUCCUUGACAAAACAAUGGAAGGUUUUCAUUUCAUAUAAACAGGGGAGAAUAUCUUGCAAGUCAGUGACCCCUUUUUCUCAGAACAGCAGUGUAUCUUAGGCCUAACUGUCAAGGCUACCAUCUACCCGGAGCACAUCUCUGUGUUGCAAUGACUUGUUAAUUUCGUGGAAGUUUUGUACAAGCACUGAAUUUGUAAGUGUCAGGAUUGAGGUGUUCUCUUCCCAAGUUCUUCUAGCCCAUUCAACUGAAAUGUCGAAAUAAUCUAUGCCUGACAGGAUAAACGCUUAUCAGCUGGAGUUGUAGCAUCUGCUAGCUGAUUUCUGUUACAUCUCAAAUACUUGGCACGUCAUUGCUGUCAUUGGUUUGGAACUUGUAGCCCUCUUUUGGAGAUGUUGGUAGCUGUGGUUUUAGAUGUACGCCUGGUGGUAUGUUUAGCUGGUCUUUGCUGUUCCCGUUGAUCUAGCAGUUUGGGGUAUGUCCCAGAUGACUAGGCUGAUGCUUGUAUGAACUUCUAUAUGGCUUCUUAAUGAAAAUCGUGGGGAAACCCCUCUCAAAAAAAAAAAAAACUUGGCACGGUGUUUACUUAGCACUGACUGGGAACUAAUACUAAUAACUAAAAAAGCGAAAGAAGAUUUGGAUGAAUAAUUGGGUUGGAGUAAACUGUACUUCUGGCUGUUGGGCUCUUAACUAAGUUACUCCCUCCUUUCCAAAUUACUCGUCGUGGUUUUAGUUCAAAAAGUUCAAAUUUGAACUAAAACCACGACGAGUAAUUUGGAACGGAGGGAGUAUUUAUUAUUACAUCGGAUUUGUGCGCAGUUUGUCUUAAUGUUUACUCUUCAUAUGACUGAAUCUGCUUGUGAUUUCAUCUGUGAAAGACUCAAGAUAGAAUCAUACUUAAGUGCUUGUUGACAUAUUAUCAACAGGGAAGUUACAUUGCCGGCUUCCAAAUAUGAACAAACAUAAAAGGCCUGAAAGCAGCACGGCCAUUAUGUGGAUCCAUCUAGCCUAGCUUGGCGAGGACAUCGCCGAGAACAGUCUUGGUCUCGCCGUAGUACUUCUCGGCCUCGGUGGGGCUCUUGAUCUUGGCUGCAUGGUCAAGCUGCAAACAAAACGGAGAAGCUCACACCUGUUAGUCCUGCAAUUCUUCUUGAGAAAAUGCUCAGGUUUGAUGCAGUAAGAAUUAAGAUGGCCAUGUUUCUGAAGAGACAUAAGGUAGCUGAAAUUGCGAGAUGGUAGGUUUCUUACCCCGUCGAGGGUGGCGAAGAGCUUGCCGGUGAGGUCCUUGAGGUCCUUCUUCUCCUCCUUGGUGGUCUUGGAGGAGAUGACGGUCUUGAGGUCAUAGCGUAGGUAGGAGGCCCUGAGGCGGAGGUCGUUCAUGACGUACGGCCAUUGCUUCUUGUCGAUGAGCGGCUUGAGGUUGAGGAUGUCCUGGGCCGACUCCUUGGCCCGGACCGCCGCCUCCGCCGGUGGCAGCGGCUGCAGGUAGAACCGGUUCUUCAGGGGCAGGUCGAAGUCCCUUGCCUCGUCGGAGUUGUCCGUGCCGGCUGAACACACACCCAAAUCAUCCAUCAGAUCAGGCGUAAAAUCAUUAUAUAUAUAUAGUCUACUAAAGCGAGCAUAGUAUGGUAGAUGAUGUACGAGCAGCUGGAGGCACUCACGGAGUCCACCGGAGAGCGGCGGCGGUGGGCCAACCUUGAUGGCCGCGACGGUGCCGGCGUGCACCACCUGAGCGAACGCGCUGCCGACGACUCCGCUGGCCAUGAGACCAAGGACCGCGCGGCGGCCGGCGGCCUCCGCCUCCGCCGACGACGCCCUCACGGUGAACCUGCUGGCGCGCCUGCCGGUCGGGCCUGGGAGACGCACGCCCUGCGACAGGCCGGUCAUGGACGCCAUGGUUUGCGCCAUCUCAAGCUUUGCUUCUCUCUUCUCUUCUUGCCCUGUGUUUCUCUCUUAUCCCUCUUGAGAAGCUAGCGAUCUCUCGAUCGAAUGGCAAAAAUAUAUGAGGAGGACGUGUAACGUGUUGCUGUCCUUUGCGGCGGGAAACCUUAUCUGACUGGAUAAGUUCGCGGCCAAUGCGCGCGCGCCGUGUGGCGCGGGCUUGUGGCAUGCUGCAUCGCCUGACCUCCAUUUGGAUUGCGCCCUGGCCAAUGAGUGCCAGACAUGUGUCGACGGUGCUUGGGCUUCAGUUGGCCAGUAAGAUUUCCUUGUUUUGUCACUUUGUUAUAUCUGGAUAAUUUCUUUUCCCAGCAAACACCAUGGCCGAUUUCUUUACCAGCAUAGCAUUUGAAAUUUCACUUCACAUCACUGCAUUAAUCAUUGCGAUGGAUUAUAGUAACUCAUUAGUCCAACCAAGUUUUAUUGAGUUAUAAGUUGUUUUAACAGAUUUUCCCUAUAUUCAAUUGUUGUUUUCUCAUGAAAAGACUAUAAAAAGUAAGUUUACCACAACACAACUCAAGAGUCGCAGUCUAUUUUUCAGAUUCGCGUCGACCUAAUCUAUGUUUCUCGCCCUAUUUCACCGGCGAUGUGGCGGACUUGCAUCGAUAGAUCACAAUGUGAGCUAGAGAGACCAUUCCUCACCCGACUUCCUAAGAUUGGCGCCAACACCUCCGCCAAUGUCAUUGGUUUUCUUUUUUGUCGCCGACAUCCUAUGAGGAAGCUUAGGGUCUUAGGGUUUGCAAUGGAUUCAACCCUGACCUCAAUUGUCCAGGUGGUCGUGAAGUUGUGGCCUAGUAGGGCGCGGUGACAGUGGCGGAUCCGGGAUUUGAAGUUACCAAGGGCGAACUUUUAAAGAAAAAAAAUCUAAGCCACAAUAUAAUCAAGAAAAAUAGUUGGCCAAGAGUAUGCAUGCAGGAAAGACUAUCAACACAAUAAAUUUAUCUAAGUAAUUUUAUUCUCAAGAAGUAGGCAAAAAAUUGUAACACAAAAAAAAAAUCACAUAAAGGCUAACUUGGACUUCCGCUGGUUAAAUCUUCCAUGCGUUACCCCAAAUAUUUAUUCUUCUAGUCCAUUAGGUACCUGAAACAUGUAAAAACAAUCAGAUUAAUCUAAAUCACAGCAUAGUAUGCCAUUUCUUUAAACAAAAGAUAAGACAACUGUUUACCAUUAAGUUGUAGUUAUACGUGGAGGAUUUGGAAGAUGGCCUCUACGAUCCCUUAGGCCAUGAAAAUGUUCGAUAAUCUUCUUGUCUUCAAUGCCAGCAAAUAUAUCUCGCUCAACAUAGCAAACCAUCAUAUCAUUCAACCAUUCAUCACCUAUCUUGUUUCUCAAAUAUGUUUUUAUUAUAUUCAUGGAUGAGAAAGCCCUUUCAACUGAUGCAGUCGCAACCGGCAAUAUCAAUGUGAGUUUGAUGAGUCGGUAAACCAAUGGGAAACGCAAAUACUCCCUAGUUUGAACUAACUUGACAGAGAGACUUGAUAGACUAUCACAACCACAAAAAACAUGUGAUCUUUUCAUCACAUCAAUGUAUAUGUCAAGCUGACCACUCAAAAAUUGCCGUUCUUCUGGAUCAAAGUCUGCUGAGUAAAUGCUUGCAAGCUCAGUUAUCUUGUCAUGGUCAAAGCUACUGAAUGAGUCUCUAGGAUCUAGACAUGAAAUGCAAAUCAAUAAUCUGGUUGUUGUUUCACUAAAUCGAUUGUUCACCUCGGCUAUGUUUUCUAUCAAUCACCUCAUUGAAUAUUUCUACCUUGUAGUGAUGGAAGCAAGUAACUGACUUACGUGAACUCCUUGGAUAACCCCUUGCUGAAAUAUUAUCAUUCAUGUUUGGCACCGGUAUAUCUCUCUGAACACAAAAUGCAGUUACAGCCUCCAAAAGUGGCUCCCACCCUUCAUCCCUCAGAUGCCGCAAUAACCUUUUCACAGAGAGAAUCAUGUUCAUUGCACUGACUAUGUUUUGGUCCUUUUGUUGCAAUGCUUGUGACAAAUCAUUAGUCAGACCAAGCACUUUAAUCAUCAAGUGCAAUAUGAUACGAAUUCAAAGACUUCCAUUUGUUUCAUCAAACUUGAAGCUUUGCCUUUGUUGUCGUCAUUUUCUCCAUCUAAACAAAUAGCAUGUAGCACUUGGAUCACCGAGUCCCACAUUUGAUAGAUACGAACUAGAGUUCUCUGGUGUGAUCCCCAACGUGUAUCACCAGGUCGUGCUAUUAUUGUCUCUUGAUGUUUGCCCCUUCCUUUCAUAAUCUCCCCAUCUCCAAUUGGAGUACAAUCUUGUCAUGAUGUUUUUGUAGCAGCGCAUCUUUUCUUCUACAAGAUGCACUUACCGUGGUCACAAUGAUAUUUGUAUAGCCAAAGAAAUCACUAACAGCAAGAACUCCUUUCACAACAGCCACAACCACUAGUUGAAGUUGAUGGGCAAAACAAUGUACAUAAAAUGCAUGAGGAUUAUCAUUUAGCACAAGUUUCUUUAAGCCAUUAAUUUGCCCACGCAUAUUUGAGGCUCCAUCAUAUCCUUGCCCUCUCAGCCUAGACAUUCUCAAAUUAUGGGUGGCAAACACUUUAUCCAAAGAUCAUUUGAGAGAAGCAGAUGUGGUGUCAACAACAUGCUCAACACAAAGCAGCAUUUCUAAAGUCUCCCUUUGCUUAUUCAAGAACCUCAAAAUCACAAUCAUUUGCUCCUUGAUUGACGCAUCAUGGGAUUCAUCAACAAGAAGUGAGAAUUGACCAUCCCCAAGCUCAUUCAUCAUGACUUCAAUAGUUUUUUCUGCACAAGCUUGCACCAAUUGCUUCUGAAUUUCAUGAGAAGUCAUCUGGUGAUUUCCAGGAGCAUUAUCAAAGAGAACAUCAGCUGCAUCCUUACAUCUUUGAGCAUACCACUCUAACAUCUCAAGGAAAUUACCCUUAUUUCUCGAAUUCUUAGACUCGACGUGACCAUGAAAAGCAAGACCUUGCCUAAGCAGAAACCUUACAACACCAACAACAACCAACAAUCGGUUCUGGUAUUCAAUAUGUGCCUUCUCAGUUUGAGUAGUCAUUGCAUAUGUCACACUUUGUUUCUGUUUUUUAAAAUCUUCAUAAUGCCUUCUUGAACUGUUGUGAGCACUAUUUGUUGAACCUACAUGGAGCCUGAAGUUUUCAAUUGCUUUCUUCCAGUUCGUAUACCCAGUCUUGGUGAAGACUUCAGCCCCAAACUUUGAACUGAUUGUUGGUUUCUUGAAAAGAAAACAGUGAAAACAGUAAGCAACUUUUUUGGCUACACUAUACUCUAGCCAAUCAAACUCCUUGUACCAUAUUUCUCUAAAUACCCUGCCAUCUUCAUUGCGUUCAAAAAUCAUGAUCUUUAGGCUGACAUGCACCUUUCGAGAUAUACGCCCUUCUCACUACAUCUCUGAUUUCUGGGGUAGCAUACUCUUCAAUUUGUUUCCGAAGGCCAGGAUCAGGUUCAAUGUCAGUUGUGUAAGGGCAUAUUUAUCCCCAAGAUGUUUUGGUGAUUGAUGACAAUGCUUGUGCGGACUAAUCGUGUGCGUUAAGUUCUUUCAGAGAUUCAUCCAUUGGCACGAGACGAUUACCUCCCCUCGGUGUUUUAUUCAAGACGGUGUAGCUCCUUCGUUUCGUUGUUGGUGGACUAGUUUCGUAGGAGUCACCGUACUAUCAAGAGGGGAUCCGUUUUGGUAAGGCUAGGGUGGAAUCAACACGUACACAUCCAUAUCACACCCGAUGCUUUCCUUCCGCUUCAUUGGAGUUGCCUUUUCCCAUGUGUUUGCCUUGUCUUGCCCCAGCGGUAGUACCGCGGUUCACAGCGGUAGUACCGCCGAAGCACUCAAGCGGUAGUACCGCUCCCAAAGCGGUAGUACCGCUCCCCAAGCGGUAGUACCGCUCCCCAAGCGGUAGUACCGCUCCCCAAGCGGUAGUACCGCUCUCCGAGCGGUAGUACCGCUUGUGGUCUUCGGCCGUAGUACCGCAGUUGUUCCGGGCUACUACCGCCUCGAUUCGAGAACGAUGUUUUUUGUGUCGGGUUUUAUGGUACUAAGUGCGGUAGUAGUGGCGGUAGUACCGCUCCAAGCAGUAGUACCGCGCCUACUCCCACGGUAGUACCGCUCUGGGGCCAGGUCCCUAACCUCUUCAUCAGCGCGGCAGUACCGCUGGGUGAGAGCGGUAGUACCGCCCUCAGCGGUAAUACCGCCUUCAGCGGUAGUACCGCCCUGCCCAAGCGGUAGUACCGCUUUGUGCGUGGCUGUUCAGUGGGGCAACGGUUGGAUUGGUUCCCCCACUAUAUAAAGGUGUCUUCUUCCCCAAAGUUGAGUUACCUCUUUCCCCCAAAGCUCCAUUGUUGCUCCAAGCUCCAUUUUCGCCCGAUCUCUCCCCCUAGCCAAUCAAACUUGUUGAUUUGCUCGGGAUUGGUUGAGAAGGCUCGGAUCUACACUUCCACCAAGAGAAAUUUGAUUCCCCCCCACUUAUCCCUAGCGGAUCUUGUUACUCUUGGGUGUUGAGCAUCCUAGACGGUUGAGGUCACCUCGAAGCCAUAUUCCAUUGUGGUGAAGCUUCGUGGUGUUGUUGGGAGCCUCCAAGUGUUGUGGAGAUAGCCCCAAUCUUGUUUGUAAAGGUUUGGUCGCCGCCUUCAAGGGCACCAAUAGUGGAAUCACGGCAUCUCGCAUUGUGUGAGGGGGUGAGGAGAUUACGGUGGCCCUAGUGGCUUCUUGGGGAGCAUUGUGCCUCCACACCGCUCUAACGGAGACGUACUUCCCCUCAAAAGGAAGGAACUUCGGUAACACAUCCUCGUCUCCACCGGCUCCACUCUUGGUUAUCUCGUGCCUUUACUUUUGCAAGCUUACUUGUGUUGUAUCUAUUGCUUGCUUGUGUGCUAGUUGUAUUUGCAUCAUAUAGGUUGUCCACAUAGUUGCACAUCUAGACAACCUAUUUUGUUGCAAGGUUUAAAUUGUUAAAGAAAAGUCUAAAAAUUGUUAGUUGCCUAUUCACCCCCCCCCCUCUAGUCAACUAUAUCGAUCCUUUCAAUUGGUAUCAGAGCCUUGUCUCUUUCUUAAGGACUUUGUCGUCCGAAGAGUAUGGUUGACACCAACGACGGUGCGGAGGAGCACUCCUGUGUGAAUCCUAUCUCGUCUUCGGCCGAAGGGGGAACCUCGGUCUCACGUGAGGAAUUCAAUGUGGCUUUAGACAGAUUGAAAACCUCCAUGACGGCCGAGGUUAAAAGCAUGUUUUCUGAAUUCCUAGAAGGACUUAAACUAUCCACCUCGCCAAUGAAAGUGGGUGAUCCCACUAACAAGGUGACGGAUGCUACCUCCAACAAAGGGGAAGCUAAUAGUGAAAAAGGUCCUUCUACUAGUGGUAGAAAUGGCUCCGGCAUCUUUGCCCAUGUGGAACCUCCUACUUAUGGUGGACCGAUUCCUACUACUCAUUUAAAUCAUGCCGGUCCUCCUCCUAAGAUUGUGAAAAAUGAGGAUUUUGAUGCUUGGGUUUAUCGUUUCAAGCGUCAUUUAAAGCAUGUGAAUACUAAUCUUUGGAGAAUUAUAGAAGAAGGUUUCUAUCCACAUGACCCAAGCAACUUGACCCCUCGAGAAGCCGUGGAUAAUCAAUUCAAUGAAAGUGCUCUCUUCAUCAUCCAAGAUGCAAUCCUUCCCGAAGAUCUCCCUCAUCUUCAUCCUCAUGCCAUGGCUAAAGACGCAUGGAAAUGUGUUGUGUCUCUCUAUCGAGGAAGUGCUAGAAUUCAACGCUCCAACUAUGAAGUGGUGCAAGAUGAAGCCAAUGAGUUUGCAAUGAAAGAAGAUGAAGAACCUCGUGAGCUCUUUCAAAGAGUGACCAAACUCGCGGUCGCACUCCGAGAUCAUGGGAGCAAGGACACGGAUGACAACUGGAUCAAGCGCAAGUUCCUCAAGGCCAUGAUGCUCUACAACAAGGCCAUGUACUCCGUCAUUCGUCAAAGACCGGACUUCCACUCCAUGACCUCAGGUGAAGUGUUGGAUGAGUUCGUUGCAAUGAGCAUCUUGGACAAGACCGCCGACAAUGUGGUGCUCCGUUCUCAAAGGGCAAAGAAGCCCAAUCUUGCCUUGAAGGCCAAGGUUAGUGUGGAAGAAGAAGAAGAAGAGGAAGAUGAGGAGAGCAACCCCGAAGACACGAAGUAUGAUUAUCAUGAGCACAUGGCUCUUGCCUCAAGACAAUUUUGGAGUAAGAAGAAUACAAGACCCAACUUCAACAAGAACAACUCAAGUGGCCUCAAGGGCAAGCAACGAGUUAGAACUUGUUUCAACUGCGGCCAUGUGAGCCAUUUCGUUGCGGAUUGUCCUUACGAGAAGUGGGAAGACAAUGGUGGCAAGUUCAUCCGAAAAGACAAAUCCAAGUCCUUCCCCAACAAGAACAACUUCACCAAGAAGACUCCUACUCGCGGGUUGGUGGUUCAAGAAGAAUACCGUGAGGAUGACGGAUGAUGAAGAUAGUGAAACAAUGGCCAUGGCAUCCGUUGCCAUUGUCACAACUCCCCGGGUGUCUCUUUUCGUUUCACCCAACGAGAACAUCACCGCCAAGUGCCUCAUGGCUAAGGCCACCAACAAGGUAGCCCCCAACAUCAAAACCAUCAUUAUUCCUAAUCCUCCUUCAACGGAUGACUUUGGUAAUGGUAAGGGGCCUAAUGAGGAGGUAAAUGAAUUUGAGUCCUUCAUGAGUAAGCUCAAGGGCAAAUCCAAGAAGCACUUCAUUGCUCUCUUGGAACAACUUGGUGAAGCCAAUGACAUGAUAGAGGCUCACGAAGAAACCAUCUCUAAGAUGGAAGGUCAUAGUUGUGACUAUGCCGAUGAGAUAUGGGAUCUAUCUAAUGCUCUUGAGGAAGAGCGUGGGCAUCGUUUGGCUCUUGAGGAGUCACACAACGAUGACCAUGCCAAAUGAAAGAAAGAUCUUGAUCAUGAUCUUGUUGUGUCUCGUGUCCUAACUUCCGAGAAGGCUAAACUUGGGGUUGAUCAUGCUAGACUCAAGGAGGAGUUUGAUGUACUUGACAAGGCUCAUAAGGUCUUGAAAGGUGCUCAUGCAAACCUCAAGGAGUCUCAUGCUCAACUCCAAGUUAAGCUAACCAAGGAAAAGGCCACAUUUCCUCACAUGGUCUUAAUUGAUAAUGCAAAUGCUACUAACCCAUGUUGUGAGCAUGUGCAUCUUGUGGAGGAGAUUGCCAAGUUGAAGGAACAACUCGAGAAAGGUCUUGUGUCAUGCAUACAAGGCGAGAAGAACCUAAAUGACCUUUUGAGCAAUCAAAAGGAAGUUGUAGGCAAGGAGGGAGUUGGGUUCUCACCCAAGUCCAAGAACAAGAAGAAGAACAAGGAGAAGAAUAGCAAGAUCAAUCGUCCUCCCCCGCUCAAGCAAACCUUUGUGAAGGAGGGAGAGGGUGCUCCUAAGGAGAAGAAGAACAAUGCGAAGAGUGGUGAUGCCAAAGAGCGCAAAGUCAUCUCUCCCAACAAAGCCGGCGACUUUAACCCCUCUUAUGUGUUGUGCCGUGCUAGUGAUGGGCAUGUUUAUGCUAAAUUUGUUGGUUCUUCUUAUGAGUACAUUGAAUGGUCUAUUUGGGUUCCUAAGACCCUUGUUACUAACAUCAAAGGACCCAUUACUCAAUGGGUACCUAAAACCAAGCAUUGAUCUCUUGUAGGUGUUUGCUUCCGGUGGGGGAUCAUGGUUGCUCGAUAGUGGAGCAACAAAUCAUAUGACCGGGAGCAAGGACUUGGUGGUGGACGUGCACAAGAUCCCAUCUAUGCCCACCAAUGUCGAAUGGGGUGAUGCCUCUCAUUCUAAGGUAUUGGGUCUUGGCAAGGUUGUCAUUUCUCAUGAUCUAACGAUCGAGAAAGUCAUGCUUGUUGAGUCCCUUGCGUUCAAUUUACUUUCCGUUCGUCAACUCGCACUCAUGGGCUUUGCCACCUUCUUUGAUAUUGAUACCGUGGCCCUCUUGUGGAGCAAGACUCUUAAAGUAGCCUUUGUUGGGCAUGUCGAGAACGGUCUUUAUGUGAUUAACUUUUCGGAGCAACCCACUAAGACCGCGACAUGCCUAAUGGCUAAAGUUGAUGUGGGAUGGCUUUGGCAUCGCUAUUUAGCCCACGUCAAUAUGAGAUCUUUGCAAAGUCUUCUCAAGGGGGACCAUGUCCGUGGACUAACGAAUGUUAGUUUUGCUAAAGAUCGUGCUUGCGGUGCUUGUAUCGAAGGAAAGCUUCAUGAGAUGGCUCACCCUCCCACGACUAUCAUCUACUCGAAGAGACCCUUGGAGCUCCUGCACAUGGACCUUUUUGGGCCUCCAUCCUUUGAUAGUCUUGGGGGUAGAAAGUAUUGCUUGGUGAUUGUGGAUGAUUAUUCAAGAUACACUUGGGUAUACUUCUUCAAGAGGAAGAGUGAGACUCAACAAACCGUCAUCGACUUUGCAAAUGAAGCUCACCGUCAACAUAAUGCAAAGAUCUUGACAAUAAGAAGUGACAACGGCACCGAGUUCAAGAACUACACCUUGCAUGCGUUUCUUAGUGAUGAGGGGAUCAAGCAUCAAUAUUCAGCACCAUAUACCCCUCAACAAAAUGGUGUUGCAGAGAGGAAGAACCGGACGUUGAUGGAUGCGGCAAGGACCAUGAUGGCGGAGUUCAAAUCUCCAUACAACUUUUGGGCCGAAGCCAUCAACACUGCAUGUCAUGCAUCCAAUCGGCUCUACCUCCACAAAGGCUUGAACAUGACUCCUUAUGAGAUACUCACCGGGAACAAGCCCAAUCUCAAGUACUUCCGGGUGUUCGGGUGUAAGUGUUUCAUUCUUAAGAAAGGUGUUCGUUUGUCUAAAUUUGAGGCUAGAGCUUAUGAGGGCAUAUUUGUUGGUUAUGCUACAAACUCUCAUGCUUACCGUGUUCUCAACAAGUCCAACGAACUCAUUGAGGAGACGUGUAACGUGGAGUUUGACGAAAAUAACGGCUCCCAAGUGGAGCAAAGUGGUACUUGUGAUGUAGGUGAUGAAAUUCCUCCCCAAGCCAUAAGAAGAAUGGGUAUUGGUAAUAUUCUACCCAUUGAGGAACCCCUUGUGGCCGAAGGAGAAGGACAAUGCUCCACUUCAGUGGAGCCAUCACCUACUCAAGACCCACACGCUUCCGAAGAACAAAGUGUAGGCCCUCAACCUCGGGAGCAAGACCAAGGGCAAGAUCAAUCUCAAGAUGGUGGUGAACCUCCAAAUGAUGCCCAAGGUCAAGUUCUCCCCCUCGAGCAAGUUCAAGAUCAUGAGCAAGCUCAAGAUCAAGAACAAGCUCAUGACGACGCUCAAGAUGAUCAAGUGAACCCUCCUCCUUCGACAUCCGAGGAGGAAUUAGAGCGUCGUGCCGCGAAGAUUGCUUCCAAACUCACCACCAAAGGUCAUCUCAUGGAGAAUGUGGUUGGAAGCCUAAGAAAGGGGGUAAGCACUCGUAGACAAUUAGCAAACUAUUGUGAACAUCACGCGUUUGUCUCUUGUGUUGAACCCCAUAAGGUCUAUGAGGCGCUCGAAGACUCGGAUUGGCUCAAUGCCAUGCAUGAAGAACUCAACAACUUCGAGUACAACAAGGUGUGGAGGUUGGUGCCAAGGCCUUCCGGGAACCAUAACAUCAUUGGAACCAAGUGGAUCUUCAAGAACAAGCAAGAUGCUCAUGGGAACAUCAUUCGCAACAAGGCAAGAUUGGUAGCACAAGGCUACUCCCAAGUCGAGGGUAUCGACUACGGUGAAACCUUUGCUCCUGUUGCUCGCCUUGAAUCCAUUCGUUUGUUGAUUGCUUAUACUUCCCAUCACAACUUUAAGUUGCAACAAAUGGAUGUGAAAAGUGCUUUUCUGAAUGGUCCUAUUAAUGAGUUGGUCUAUGUCAAGCAACCCCCCGGGUUCGAGGAUCCCUACUUUCCGGAUCAUGUGUAUCAACUCGAUAAGGCACUCUAUGGCCUUAAACUAGCCCCACGUGCGUGGUAUGACCACCUUACCGAGUUGUUACAAGAUCGUGGAUUUGAAGUGGGGCUAAUCGAUCCCACUCUUUUUACUAAGAAGGUCAAAGGGGAGUUGUUUGUAUGCCAACUAUAUGUUGAUGACAUUAUCUUUGGUUCCCCUAACAAAGCUUUCAAUGAGGAAUUUGCCGCUCUCAUGACCUCCAAGUUCAAGAUGUCUUCGAUGGGAGAGUUGAAGUUCUUCCUUGGUUUUGACAUCAAACAAAGAAGAGAAGGAACCUUCAUCAACCAAGCCAAAUACACUCAAGACAUGCUAAAAAGAUUCAAGCUAAGUGAUGUCAAGCCGGCUACUACUCCAAUGCCCACCAAGUGCCAACUUGACAUUGAUCCCAAUGGCAAAGGGAUGGAUAAAAAGGUAUAUCGCUCCAUGAUUGGCUCCUUGCUUUACCUUUGUGCAUCUAGACCGGAUAUCAUGUUGAGUGUGGGGAUAUGUGCACGGUUUCAAGCCGCACCGAAGGAAAGUCACUAUGUGGCGGUCAAGCGAAUCUUUCGAUAUUUGGCUCAUACCCCCAACUUUGGCUUAUGGUACCCAAGAGGGGCAAACUUCAAGCUUGAAGGAUUUACAGAUUCCAAUUGGGCGGGAGACAAAGUGGAUAGGAAGUCCACUUCCGGAGGGUGCAAGUUUCUUGGGUGCUCUUUGGUGAGUUGGUCUUCCAAAAAGCAAAGUUGUGUGUCUCUCUCGUCCACCGAAGCGGAAUAUGUGGCGGCCGGUAGUUGUUGUGCACAUUUUUUAUGGAUGAGGCAAACUUUAAAGGAAUACGGUGUCAUUUGUGACAAAGUGCCUCUUUGGUGUGACAACCAAAGUGCCAUCAAGAUUUCUCUCAACCCGGUGCAACACUUCAAGACGAAGCAUAUUGAGAUUCGGUAUCAUUUCAUCCGGGAUCACAUUAGGCGAGGGGAGAUCGAGCUCAAGUAUGUCAACACUCAUGAUAACCUUGCAGAUAUUUUCACGAAGCCCUUGGAUGAAGCAAGAUUUCGUGAGUUAAGGCAUGAGCUAAAUAUCAUUGAUUCGAGCAAUGUGACUUGAACCCUUGCACACCCCACCUCACUCAACUUGGUGUCUAGCUUAGAUGUAGGCAUGUAUAUAGGGGGAGUGUUGUUCUCUCAAUGAACUCUCCCUCCCCCCAUUAUGCAUAAAACGAUCAACUCUUUCACAUUAGCCAUUUUUUGAUGGUACGUGUGCUUCAAAGACGAGUUUUGGUCAUGGGCCCAAGGAUAAUUCUUCGCGGUGCCAUACCAAUUGACUCAAACAUAGGUGGCUCCGGUCACCGCCCUCUCUUGAGAGAGGCCAGAGCUCGCUCUGUUUCGUGUGGUUGUUUUUUUAGAGUGGGUUCUGGGCCGUUGUUAGUGUGUGUGUUGCCUUGUUGGUCUUCUCUUUCCCUUAGCCUUGCUUUCUCAUCUCUUUGGUGCUUUAGCCGCUAGUCUAGAAGCUUUUUUUGGUUGCUGAGCGGUACUACCGCUGGUGGCGAGCGGUACUACUGCUCCGAGCGGUACUACCGCUCUCCAGCGCAGUACUACCGCUGUGAGGCGCGGGCAGGGGGAGUUUCUUCUCCCCCAUACCCAUUCGCACACCCCCUUGCUCUGUUCCCCUCUCUUCAGCAACCGGCACCGCGGGAGGGCUCCGGCGAAUCUCCCUCUCCGGGGCGUUCCUCUCCAUUUCCUUCGGUGGAGUCGAUCCCCACCUUGUCCUCUUGCCAUGGAUGUCGGUAUUGUCCCCGUUCCCUUUUUCUUCGUGUCUAGAUUUCCAAUCUAGCAUCUUAGGGGCAAUAGCAGUUGCAUCUCUAGAUUUUUGGCCAGAUCUAGUCUUGAGUAGGAUGGAGAAUGCUUCUAGACAGUUUGGAUUGGUGUUUAGUUGGAGCAUUUUUGAAUUUGGUAGGACGGUAGUGCCGGAUCUGACCACGGCAGUGGGAAACUGUUGUUUCCCCGUCUCGAGUGGUACUACCGCUCUCUCCAGAGCGGUACUACCGCUUGGAGCGGUACUACCGCUCUCUCCAGAGCGGUACUACCGCUUUGAGCGGUUCUACCGCUCACGGGUCACGGUACUACCGCCCUCUACCAGUUUCCACCAUGCUCUUACCUCUCAGUGAUCUCUUUGCACGUGUUCUGUGGCUUAUGCUCAUUCUUUCUGGUUGUUUGCGUGUUCUUGUGUGUGGUUCCAGGUGAUGAGGUUCCUGAGCAUCAGGCUCGUCGUGUCAACCCCGGUCGUGCCACGUCCAAGCGCUACCGCACCACUGGGUCUGCCGGAGGUUCUUCAAGUGCUCCACCUCCACCUCAACUCCAGAAGAAGCCUGGUGUCAAGCCGAAGCCAGGCAAAACUGUGCCAGAAAUGCCGCCCAAGGAGUUCUGGGCAAGGCGUCACCGCAACCCGUAUGAUGCAGACCAAGAUCCCACUUUGGUCAACCGUCCGUUCUGGAAUAGGUUCCAGUUUGCCAUCUUCUUUGAUGUUCUCAAAGCCAAGAAGAACCUCUAUGUCAACAUGCACUCCAUCGGCACCGACCAUAUGGAGAAGGAUCCUGAAUACUUUGGUGAAGCUCUUCAGAUGUGCACUCAACUGAACAUUCUUGGGAUCAUGCAAUUCAAUAAAGAUUAUGAUGCUGAUAUUGUGGCCCAAUUCUAUGCCACGGUUCAUCUCGGGACUGAUGAGGACAGGACACUGACUUGGAUGACAAAUGGCAAGUUGCUUUCAGUCAAGUGGAAAGCUUUCAUAGAGUUGAUUGGGGUGCAAGAUCUAGGUCUUGAGUCUCCUGUCGGUUUUCAUCCACACCGCCGCACCAACGCCACUCACAAGCAAGCUCUAUGGCCCUUCUGCACUUUGAGGAUCAACCCUGAGACAAAGAAGGAAACUUAUGAGCUGCCUGCUGUUGGGGAACGUAGUAAUUUAAAAAAAUUCCUACGCACACGCAAGAUCAUGGUGAUGGCAUAGCAACGAGAGGGGAGAGUGUUGUCCACGUACCCUCGUAGACCGUAAACGGAAGCGUUAGCACAACGUGGUUGAUGUAGUCGUACGUCUUCACGAUCCGACCGAUCCAAGCACCGAACGUACGGCACCUCCGAGUUCAGCACACAUUCAGCUCGAUGACAAUCCCCGGGCUCCGGUCCAGCAAAGCUUCGGGGAUGAGUUCCGUCAGCACGACGGCGUGGUGACGAUGAUGAUGUUCUACCGGCGCAGGGCUUCGCCUAAACUCCGCGACGAUAUGACCGAGGUGGAAUAUGGUGGAGGGGGGCACCGCACAUGGCUAAGGAACGAUCCGUAGAUCAACUUGUGUGUCAUGGGGUGCCCCCCUGCCCCCGUAUAUAAAGGAGCAAGGGGGGAGGAGGCCGGCCCUAGGAGGGGGCGCGCCAAGUGUGGAGUCCUACUAGGACUCCCUAGUCCUAGUAGGAUUCCACCUCCCUUGUUGGAGUAGGAGAAGGGGAAAGAGGGGGAUAGGAAGAAGGAAAGGGGGGCUGCACCCCUUGUCCAAUUCGGACCAGAGGGGGGGCGCAGGCCUCCUUCCUUUUGGCCUCUCUCCUCUAUUCCCGUAUGGCCCAAUAAGACCCAUAUACUCCCCGGCGAAUUCCCGUAACUCUCCGGUACUCCGAAAAAUACCCGAAUCACUUGGAACCUUUCCGAACUCCGAAUAUAGUCGUCCAAUAUAUCGAUCUUUACGUCUCGACCAUUUCGAGACUCCUCGCCAUGUCCCCGAUCUCAUCCGAGACUCCGAACUCCUUCGGUACAUCAAAACUCAUAAACUCAUAAUAUAACUGUCAUCGAAACCUUAAGCGUGCGGACCCUACGGGUUCGAGAACUAUGUAGACAUGACCUAGAACUAUUCUUGGUCAAUAACAAAUAGCGGAACCUGGAUGCCCAUAUUGGCUCCUACAUAUUCUACGAAGAUCUUUAUCGGUCAAACCGCAUAACAACAUACUUUGUUCCCUUUGUCAUCGGUAUGUUACUUGCCCGAGAUUCGAUCGUCGGUAUCUAAUACCUAGUUCAAUCUCGUUACCGGCAAGUCUUUUUACUCGUUUACGUAAUGCAUCAUUCCAUAACUAACUCAUUAGCUACAUUGCUUGCAAGGCUUAUAGUGAUGUGCAUUACCGAGAGGGCCCAGAGAUACCUCUCCGACAAUCGGAGUGACAAAACCUAAUCUCGAAAUACGCCAACCCAACAUGUACCUUUGGAGACACCUGUAGUACUCCUUUAUAAUCACCCAGUUACGUUGUGAUGUUUGAUAGCACCCGAAGUGUUCCUCCGGUAAACGGGAGUUGCAUAAUUUCAUAGUUACAAGAACAUGUAUAAGUCAUGAAGAAAGCAAUAGCAAUAUACUAAACGAUCAAGUGCUAGGCUAACGGAAUGGGUCAUGUCAAUCACAUCAUUCUCCUAAUGAUGUGAUCCCAUUAAUCAAAUGACAACUCUUUUGUCCAUGGUUAGGAAACAUAACCAUCUUUGAUAAACGGGCUAGUCAAGUAGAGGCAUACUAGUGACACUAUGUUUGUCUAUGUAUUCACACAUGUAUUAUGUUUCCGGUUAAUACAAUUCUAGCAUGAAUAAUAAACAUUUAUCAUGAUAUAAGGAAAUAAAUAAUAACUUUAUUAUUUCCUCUAGGGCAUAUUUCCUUCAGUCUCCCACUUGCACUAGAGUCAAUAAUCUAGUUCACAUCAUCAUGUGAUUCAACACCAAUAUUCACAUCUGUAUGUGAUUAACACCCAAAUUUCACAUUGUCAUGUGACCAACACCCAAAGGGUUUACUAGAGUCAAUAAUCUAGUUCACAUCGCUAUGUGAUUAAUGCCCAAAGAGUACUAAGGUAUGAUCAUGUUUUGCUCGUGAGAGAAGUUUAGUCAACGGGUCUGUCACAUUCAGAGCCGUAUGUAUUUUGCAAAUAUUCUAUGUCUUCAAUGCUCUGCACGGUGCUACUCUAGAUAAUUGCUCCCACUUUCAAUAUGUACCUAGAUUGAGAUUUAGAGUCAUCUGGAUUGGUGUAAAAGCUUGCACCGAUGUAACUCUUUAUGACGGGCUCUUUUAUCACCUCCAUAAUCGAGAAAUAUUUCCUUAGUCCUCAUUAAGGAUAUUCUUGACCAAUGUCCAGUGAUCUACUCCUAGAUUACUAUUGUACUCCCUUGCCAAUUUCAGAGCAAGGUAUACAAUAGGUCUGGUACAUAGCAUAACAUACUUUAUAGAACCUAUGACUAAGGCAUAGGGAAUGACUUUCAUUCUCUUUUCUAAUUUCUGCUGUGGUCGGGAUUUGAGUCUUACUCAAUUUCACACCUUUGCAACACAGGCAAGAACUCUUUCUUUGACUGUUCCAUUUUGAACUAUUUCAAAAUCUUGACAAGGUAUGUACUUAUUGAAAAACUUAUCAAGCGUCUUGAUCUAUCUCAAUAGAUCUUGAUGCUCAAUAUGUAAGUAGCUUUACUGAGGUCUUUCUUUUAAAAAACUCCUUUCAAACACUCCUUUAUGCUUUGCAGAAUAAUUCUACAUUAUUUCCGAUCAAACAAUAUGUUAUUCACAUAUACUUAUCAGAAAUGUUGUAGUGCUCCCACUCACUUUCUUGUAAAUAUAGGUCUUUCCAAAAGUCUGUAUAAAACCAUAUGCUUUGAUCAACUCAUCAAAGCGUAUAUUCCAACUCCGAGAUGCUUGCACCAGUCCAUUGAUGGAUCGUUGGAGCUUGCACAUUUUGUUAGUACCUUUAGGAUUAACAAAACCUUCUGGUUGCAUCAUAUACAACUCUUCUUUAAUAAAUCCAUUAAAGAAUGUAGUUUUGACAUCCAUUUGCCAGAUUUCAUAGCAUGUGGCAAUUGCUAACAUGAUUCGAACAGACUUAAGCAUCGCUACAGUUGAGAAAAUCUCAUUGUAGUCAACACCUUAAACUUGUUGAAAACCUUUCGCAACAAGUCGAGCUUAGUAGAUAGUAACACUACUAUCAGUGUCUGUAUUCCUCUUGAAGAUCCAUUUAUUUAACAUGGCUUGCUGAUCAUCGAGCAAAUCAAUCAAAGUCCAUACUUUGUUCUCAUACAUGGAUCAUAUCUCAGAUUUUAUGGCCUCAAGCCAUUUCGUGGAAUCUGGGCUCAUCAUCGCUUCCUCAUAGUUCGUAGAUUCAUCAUGGUCUAGUAACAUGACUUCCAGAAUAGGAUUACCGUACCACUCUGGUGCGGAUCUUACUCUGGUAGACCUACGAGGUUCGGUAAUAACUUGAUCUGAAACUUCAUGAUCAUCAUCAUUAGCUUCCUCACUAAUUGGUGUAGGAAUCAUAGGAACUGAUUUCUGUGAUGAACUACUUUCCAAUAAGGGAGCAGGUACAAUUACCUCAUCAAGUUCUACUUUCCUCCCACUCACUUCUUUCGAGAGAAACUUCUAUCUCUAGAAAGGAUCCAUCUUAGCAACUAAUAACUUGCCUUCGGAUCUGUGAUCGAAGGUGUACCCAACAGUUCCUUUUGGGUAUUCUAUGAAGACACACUUCUCCGAUUUGGGUUCGAGUUUAUCAUGUUGAAAACCUUUUUCAUAUAAGCAUCGCAACUCCAAACUUUAAGAAACGACAACUUUGGUUUCUUGUCAAACCACAGUUCAUAAGGCGUCGUCUCAACGGAUUUUGAUGGUGCCCUAUUUAACGUGAAUGCGGCCGUCUCUAAAGCAUAACCCCAAAAUGAUAGUGGUAAAUCAGUAAGUGACAUCAUAGAUCGCACCAUAUCUAGUAAAGUACGAUUACGACGUUCGGACACACCAUUUCGUUGUGGUGUUCCGGGUGGCGUAAGUUGCGAAACUAUUCCACAUUGUUUUUAAUUGAAAACCAAACUCGUAACUCAAAUAUUUGUCUCCGCGAUCAGAUCGCAGAAACUUUAUUUUCUUGUUACGAUGAUUUUUCCACUUCACUCUGAAAUUCUUUAAACCUUUCAAUUAUUCCAGACUUAUGUUUCAUCAAGUAGAUAUACCCAUAUCUGCUCAAAUCAUUUUGUGAAGGUCAGAAAAUAAUGAUACUUGCCACGAGCAUCAACACUCAUUGGAUCGCAUACAUCGGUAUGUAUUAUUUCCAAUAAGUCAGUAGCUUGUUCCAUUGUUCCGGAGAACGGAGUUUUAGUCAUCUUGCCCAAAAGGCACGGUUCGCAAGUACCAAGUGAUUCAUAAUCAAGUGAUUCCAAAAGCCCAUCAGUAUGGAGUUUCUUCAUGCGCUUUACACCGAUAUGACCUAAACGGCAGUGCCACAAAUAAGUUGCACUAUCAUUAUUAACUUUGCAUCUUUUGGCAUCAAUAUUAUGAAUAUGUGUAUCACUACGAUCGAGAUCCAACAAACUAUUUUCAUUGGGUGUAUAACCAUCGAAGGUCUUAUUCACAUAAACAGAAUAACAAUUAUUCUUUAACUUUAAAUGAAUAACCGUAUUGCAAUAAACAUGAUCAAAUCAUAUUCAUGCUCAACGCAAACGCCAAAUAACAUUUAUUUAGGUUUAACAUUAAUCCUGAAAGUAUAGGGAGUGUGCGAUGAUGAUCAUAUCUUGGAACUACUUCCAACACUCAUCGUCACUUCCCUUUUAACUAGUCUCUGUUUAUUCUGUAACUCCUGUUUCGAGUUACUAAUCUUAGCAACCGAACAAGUAUCAAAUACUUAGGGGCUACUAUAAACACUAGUGAGGUACACAUCAAUAACCUGUAUAUCAAAUAUACCCUUGUUCACUUUGCCAUCCUUCUUAUCCACCAAAUAUUCAGGGUAUUUCCGUUUCCAGUGACCAUUUCCUUUGCAGUGUAAGCACUCAGUUUCAGGCUUUGGUUCAACUUUGGGCUUCUUCGUGUGAGUGACAACUUGCUUGUCAUUCUAUUUGAAGUUCCCAUUCUUUCCCUUUGCCCUUUUUCUUGAAACUAGUGAUCUUGUCAACCAUCAACACUUGAUGCUCUUUCUUGAUUUCUACCUUCGUCGAUUUUAACAUCACGAAGAGCUCGGGAAUCGUUUUCGUCAACCCUUGCAUACUAUAGUUCAUCUCGAAGUUCUAGUAACUUAGUGAUGGUGACUAGAGAAUUCUAUCAAUCACUAUCUUAUCUGGAAGAUUAACUCCCACUUGAUUCAAGCGAUUGAAGUACCCAGACAAUCUGAGCACAUGCUCACUAGUUGAGCGAUUCUCCUCCAUCUUUUAGCUAUAGAACUUGUUAGAGACUUCAUAUCUCUCAACUCGAAUAUUUGCUUGAAAUAUUAACUUCAAUUCCUGGAACAUCUCAUAUGGUCCAUGACGUUCAAAACAUCUUUGAAGUCCCGAUUCUAAGCCGUUAAGCAUAGUGCACUAAACUAUCAAGUAGUCAUCGUAUUGAGCUAGCCAAACGUUCAUAACGUCUGCAUCUGCUCCUGCAAUAGGUCUGUCACCUAGCGGUGCAUUAAGGACAUAAUUCUUCUGUGCAGCAAUGAGGAUAAACCUCAGAUCACGGAUCCAAUCCGCAUCAUUGCUACUAACAUCUUUCAACACAAUUUUCUCUAGGAACAUAUCAAAAUAAACAUAUGAAAGCAAGAACGCAAGCUAUUGAUCUACAACAUAAUUUGCAAAAUACUACCAGGACUAAGUUCAUGAUAAAUUUAAGUUCAAUUAAUCAUAUUACUUGAGAACUCCCACUUAGACAGACAUCUCUCUAGUCAUCUAAGUGAUCACGUGAUCCAAAUCAACUAAACCAUGUCCGAUCAUCACGUGAGAUGGAGUAGUUUCAAUGGUGAACAUCAUUAUGAUGAUCAUAUCUACUAUAUGACUCACGCUCGACCUUUCGGUCUCCGUGUUCCGAGGCCAUAUCUGUAUAUGCUAGGCUCGUCAAGUUUAACCCGAGUAUUCCGUGUGUGCAACUGUUUUGCACCUGUUGUAUUUGAACGUAGAGCCUAUCACACCCGAUCAUCAUGUGGUGUCUCAGCACGAAGAACUUUCGCAACGGUGCAUACUCAGGGAGAACACUUCUUGAUAAUUAGUGAGAGAUCAUAUUAAAAUGCUACCGUCAAUCAAAGCAAGAUAAGAUGCAUAAAGGAUAAACAUCACAUGCAAUCAAUAUAAGUGAUAUGAUAUGGCCAUCAUCAUCUUGUGCUUGUGAUCUCCAUCUUCGAAGCACCGUCGUGAUCACCAUCAUCACCGGCGCGACACCUUGAUCUCCAUCAUAACAUCAUUGUCGUUACGCCAUCUAUUGCUUCUACGACUAUCGCUACCGCUUAGUGAUAAAGUAAAGCAAUUACAGGGCGUUUGCAUUUCAUACAAUAAAGCGACAACCAUAUGGCUCCUGCCAGUUGCCGAUAACUUCGGUUACAAAACAUGAUCAUCUCAUACAACAACUUAUAUCUCAUCACGUCUUGACCAUAUCACAUCACAACAUGCCCUGCAAAAACAAGUUAGACGUCCUCUACUUUGUUGUUGCAAAUUUUACGUGGCUGCUACGGGCUUAGCAAGAACCGUUCUUACCUAUGCAUCAAAACCACAACGAUAGUUCGUCAAGUUAGUGUUGUUUUAACCUUCGCAAGGACCGGGCGUAGCCACACUCGAUUCAGCUAAAGUGAGAGAGACAGACACCCGCCAGCCACCUUUAAGCACAAGUGCUCGUAACGGUGAAACUAGUCUCGUGUAAGCGUACGCGUAAUGUCGGUCCGGGCCGCUUCAUCUCACAAUACCGCCGAAUCAAAGUAUGACAUGCUGGUAAGCAGUAUGACUUGUAUCGCCCACAACUCACGUGUGUUCUACUCGUGCAUAUAACAUCAACGCAUAAAACCUAGGCUCGGAUGCCACUGUUGGGAACGUAGUAAUUUAAAAAAUUUCCUACGCACACGCAAGAUCAUGGUGAUGGCAUAGCAACGAGAGGGGAGAGUGUUGUCCACGUACCCUCGUAGACCAUAAAUGGAAGCGUUAGCACAACGUGGUUGAUGUAGUCAUACGUCUUCACGAUCCGACCGAUCCAAGCACCGAACGUACGGCACCUCCGAGUUCAGCACACGUUCAGCUCGAUGACGAUCCCCGGGCUCCGAUCCAGCAAAGCUUCGGGGAUGAGUUCCGUUAGCACGAUGGCGUGGUGACGAUGAUGAUGUUCUACCAGCGCAGGGCUUCGCCUAAACUCCGCGAUGAUAUGACCGAGGUGGAAUAUGGUGGAGGGGGGCACCGCACACGGCUAAGGAACGAUCCGUAGAUCAACUUGUGUGUCAUGGGGUGCCCCCCUGCCCCCGUAUAUAAAGGAGCAAGGGGGGAGGAGGCCGGCCCUAGGAGGGGGCGCGCCAAGUGUGGAGUCCUACUAGGACUCCCUAGUCCUAGUAGGAUUCCACCUCCCUUGUUGGAGUAGGAGAAGGGGAAAGAGGGGGAUAGGAAGAAGGAAAGGGGGGCUGCGCCCCUUGUCCAAUUCGGACCAGAGGGGAGGCGCAGGCCUCCUUCCUUUUGGCCUCUCUCCUCUAUUCCCGUAUGGCCCAAUAAGGCCCAUAUACUCCCCGGCGAAUUCCCGUAACUCUCCGGUACUCCGAAGAAUAUCCGAAUCACUCGGAACCUUUCCGAACUCCGAAUAUAGUCGUCCAAUAUAUCGAUCUUUACGUCUCGACCAUUUCGAGACUCCUCGUCAUGUCCCCGAUCUCAUCCGGGACUUCGAACUCCUUCGGUACAUCAAAACUCAUAAACUCAUAAUAUAACUGUCAUCGAAACCUUAAGCGUGCGGACCCUACGGGUUUGAGAACUAUGUAAGACAUGACCUAGAACUAUUCUUGGUCAAUAACCAAUAGCGGAACCUGGGUGGCCAUAUUGGCUCCUACAUAUUCUAUGAAGAUCUUUAUCGGUCAAACCGCAUAACAACAUACUUUGUUCCCUUUGUCAUCGGUAUGUUACUUGCCCGAGAUUCGAUCGUCGGUAUCUAAUACCUAGUUCAAUCUCGUUACCGGCAAGUCUUUUUACUCGUUUACGUAAUGCAUCAUUCCGUAACUAACUCAUUAGCUACAUUGCUUGCAAGGCUUAUAGUGAUGUGCAUUACCGAGAGGGCCCAGAGAUACCUCUCCGACAAUCGGAGUGACAAAACCUAAUCUCGAAAUACUCCAACCCAAUAUGUACCUUUGGAGACACCUGUAGUACUCCUUUAUAAUCACCCAGUUACGUUGUGAUGUUUGGUAGCACCCAAAGUGUUCCUCCAGUAAACGGGAGUUGCAUAAUCUCAUAGUUACAGGAACAUGUAUAAGUCAUGAAGAAAGCAAUAGCAAUAUACUAAACGAUCAAGUGCUAGGCUAACGGAAUGGGUCAUGUCAAUCACAUCAUUCUCCUAAUGAUGUGAUCCCAUUAAUCAAAUGACAACUCUUUUGUCCAUGGUUAGGAAACAUAACCAUCUUUGAUAAACGAGCUAGUCAAGUAGAGGCAUACUAGUGACACUAUGUUUGUCUAUGUAUUCACACAUGUAUUAUGUUUCCGGUUAAUACAAUUCUAGUAUGAAUAAUAAACAUUUAUCAUGAUAUAAGGAAAUAAAUAAUAACUUCAUUAUUGCCUCUAGGGCAUAUUUCCUUCACCUGCCUAUCUGGAUAUUCUUCACCGUAUCUUCAGAGAGACUUUUUUCCCUCGUAUCGGGAAUCUGGAUAUGGUUCACUCCUAUCUCGUGGACAUGCUUCUCUUUUGUCAGCAUCAGAAGGGACAGAACACCGGAGAGUCCCUGGAUAUCUCUCAUGUGAUAUGGUCUGAGCUGUUAUCUGCUAUCUCCGAGCGCAAGUGCCCGAUUUAUGGUCCGUUCAUCAUGCUGCUUAUUGAGAAGGCCUGGGAUCGUGUCUAUCCCCAGGUGUUGCUGAAGACUGGAGAGUUGGUCUCUCACGACAUCAAGCGUCUGAGGAAGAAGGAUAACUGGGGCACUCAGGCCCCUAAGACUGGAGUUCCUUCAUCUGCUACUGCCAUGGAGACCGAGGAGGAGACUGGGGCUGAGGCUGAGGAUGAUGAUGAUGACUACGUGCCUUCUAAGGCAGAGCCCUCUUGGGCAAAGAAGCUCAAGCUCAAGAUGAAGAAGCUGUUCUGCAUGGAGUCUCACGGUCAGUACAUGACUCAUGUGGCUGAGAAGAAGGCCCGAGGUCGCCACAAGGAGCUCAUGCGUCAGUUGGGUGCUACAGUUAUCAGUGGAUCUGAGGACCAGCUUACUGAGGAUGAGGAGUGGAUUCAGCAGCACUGCCCGUGGACCGAUUCUGAUGCCGAGCACUUCCCGACUGACGAUGGUGGCGCAGAUGAUCCCGCUGAGCUCUGAUUUGUGUGUCCCUCGUCUGCUAUCACCUGGAGCCGUAGCAACACUCCCUCUCCUUUUUGGUGUCUCGAUGCCGAAGGGGGAGAGAGUUUAGGGAUUUGUGCCUUGUGUCUUCCGUCUUCUGUGUUUGUGUUUUCCUCGCUUUUUGCUUUGUUUGGUUUGUGUCAAUGAGACCUAAGUUCCAGUCAUAUGGUGUGAGACAUAUGCUACCUUAUCUUUCCAGUAUCCUUAUCUAUGUCUCUAUCUAGCUUAUGAGUUGCAUGCUUUUCUUGUUAAAUUAUCUAUGCUACUCUCAUAUACCCUGCUAAGGUGGUUGGUCUCUAGAAUGUAGGGGGAGCGUUGAUCCUAGUAUGUGUGCGGUGUAGUCCAAAGCACUUAUCUAGAUAGCACACAUCUAGGGGGAGCUCAUCUACAUUUUAGGACGGAGGGGCUUUUGCGCUUGUCUUAUAUAUAUCUCAUGAUGUGCAAAUCCCGUAUUAUCAUCAAUCCACCAAAAAGGGGGAGAUUGUAAGGGCAUAUUUAUCCCCAAGAUGUUUUGGUGAUUGAUGACAAUGCUUGUGCGGACUAAUCGUGUGCGUUAAGUUCUUUCAGAGAUUCAUCCAUUGGCACGAGACGAUUACCUCCCCUUGGUGUUUUAUUCAAGACGGUGUAGCUCCUUCGUUUCAUUGUUGGUGGACUAGUUUCGUAGGAGUCACCGUACUAUCAAGAGGGGAUCCGUUUUGGUAAGGCUAGGGUGGAAUCAACACGUACACAUCCAUAUCACACCCGAUGCUUUCCUUCCGCUUCAUUGGAGCUGCCUUUUCCCAUGUGUUUGCCUUGUCUUGCCCCAGCGGUAGUACCGCGGUUCACAGCGGUAGUACUGCCGAAGCACUCAAGCGGUAGUACCGCUCCCCAAGCGGUAGUACCGCUCUCCGAGCGGUAGUACCGCUUGUGGUCUUUGGCCGUAGUACCACAGUUGUUCCGGGCUACUACCGCCUCGAUUCGAGAAUGAUGUUUUACGUGUCGGGUUUUACGGUACUAAGUGCGGUAGUAGUGGCGGUAGUACCGCUCCAAGCGGUAGUACCGCGCCUACUCCCACGGUAGUACCGCUCUGGGGCCAGGUCCCUGACCUCUUCGUCAGCGCGGCAGUACCGCUGGGUGAGAGCGGUAGUACCGCCCUCAGCGGUAGUACCGCCCUGCCCAAGCGGUAGUACCGCUCUGUGCGUGGCUGUUCAGUUGGGCAACAGUUGGAUUGGUUCCCCCACUAUAUAAAGGUGUCUUCUUCCCCAAAGCUGAGUUACCUCUUUCCCCCAAAGCUCCAUUGUUGCUCCAAGCUCCAUUUUUGCCGGAUCUCUCUCCCUAGCCAAUCAAACUUGUUGAUUUGCUCGGGAUUGGUUGAGAAGGCCCGGAUCUACACUUCCACCAAGAGAAAUUUGAUUCCCCCCACUUAUCCCUAGCGGAUCUUGUUACUCUUGGGUGUUGAGCACCCUAGACGGUUGAGGUCACCUCGAAGCCAUAUUCCAUUGUGGUGAAGCUUCGUGGUGUUAUUGGGAGCCUCCAAGUGUUGUGGAGAUAGCCCCAAUCUUGUUUGUAAAGGUUCGGUCGCCGCCUUCAAGGGCACCAAUAGUGGAAUCACGCCAUCUCGCAUUAUGUGUGGGCGUGAGGAGAUUACGGUGGCCCUAGUGGCUUCUUGGGGAGCAUUGUGCCUCCACACCGCUCUAACGGAGACGUACUUCCCCUCAAAAGGAAGGAACUUCGGUAACACAUCCUCGUCUCCACCGGCUCCACUCUUGGUUAUCUCGUGCCUUUACUUUUGCAAGCUUACUUGUGUUGUAUCUACUGCUUGAUUGUGUGCUAGUUGUAUUUGCAUCAUAUAGGUUGUCCACAUAGUUGCACAUCUAGACAACCUAUUUCGUUGCAAGGUUUAAAUUGUUAAAGAAAAGUCUAAAAAUUGUUAGUUGCCUAUUCACCCCCCAUCUAGUCAACCAUAUCGAUCCUUUCAAGUUGGAUUAAAUAUUUGAGGAAUAUCAUCUUGCAAAUUAUUUGUAUCAGUCUCUUGGCUUAAUACUUCAGGAACACUAGCUUCUGAAAUGGUUACAUUUACUUCAGAUUCACAAACUUGGGGUCCAGACUGAUAUAACCUUGAAAAAAUAUUCUAUCUGCUUCAUCUUCUUAGGUCUCUGUAACAUCACAUUUUUAGUUAAGUUUCAAUAUUCAACUUCCAAGAAUUAGGCCAACAUGACAACAAAUUAAACAUUAUAGAAUAGAAGAGAAGACUAGGAGAGCGCAAAAUAACUUGGUCGUUGUUGCCUCUGUUGGCUGCUCGCUUGUUGUUUUGAACAGGGACAGUGGCGGCGGCGACGACUCCGCUUCCCAUGUGGACGGCAUCCAGAACAGGCCGACUCACUUCUCCUUCUCCAUCUAGCACCAUCGGCUGGACAGAUCUCGGCAGCGCCGGCGACUGCAAGACGGCACUGGAGGCGGCGCCGCGUCUUCAGGGCGUGAUCGCUAGGCGUGAGUUUAGGACGACCAGUUCCACGAUCGAUAAUUAGAAAAGGACUUGUGAACGUGAAAAUCGGGCUGCGUACUAAUGGGCUCAUCUAAUUUUUAUUGGGCUUACUUGAUUGGCCCAUCUAUAGAUUAAUAGAUCUCCUAGUGAGCAGUUAUCUUUGGCAUCUGGCGAAUCGUUUUCCUCUUCCCUCGUCAUGCUCGACCAGACCUGAGACCUUCUAGCGAAAUUGCUCGCCUCCCAUGGUGGCUGCCUGAAAGAACAUGCGGUGCCCCCAUGUUUGGUUUUGGUAAUUGAUGAUGAUCUCUAUGGACUAAUGGUUGUCUUGAGUUAUAUUUGAAGGAUUUGUCCAUAGGCUUUUCUUGAAGUCCAUGUGUUGGUUUCAAGGAGUUUAUGAGUCGACCAAGGUGCUAUUAAGGAAUUAUCCAAAAAUUGGUCAUGUGAGUGUUGACCUUAUUGCAAGCAUGUCUUGAAGAAGAAGAUUGUGUGAUCAUUCAUGUUUACCUUCAAGACAUCAUCCAAAUGAAGAAAGUUGGAAAGAUUCAAGGUUGAUCAAGACUAAGUCAAGAGUGAAUCAAGUUGAUCAACUCACAAAGCGUAGAAGAUGUACCGAGAGGGAUCAAGUGAUCCCAUGGUAUGGUAAGCAUUGUCCAUGGCACUUUGUGUACUAACCCAUGGUCUAUGUGAGAGUUCUAUGUGGGGUUAGGUACGUGUCCAUGGGCUUGCGUCAAGAGGCAGAUAUCAUACAACCCAUGGAAAGGAUGACAUCAAGUGGUGAUCGUCAUCAAGAUUGCCAUGUGCAAGUUCAAGUGGAGCAUCACGAAGAGAUCAAGUGCUUGAAUCUUGCCAUCCAUUGUGGUGUCAAUGGACUUGUGAAGAUGUGCCUAAGAGUGGCUCACCCAUAGUGGACUAUGGGGGAGCAAUCAUCUAGUCUUCAUCAAGCCAACGCAAUCAAGAAAGGUGGUCCAACUUUAGGGAGUCAAGAUCGUCUUCAUCUAACUCAAGUGGACCAUGUGCAAGGCAAAGGUUUGCCCUUGAUAGGUUUUCUAUUUUACCGGUCUCGUGGUGGUAGUUGGGAGACCGAGUUAUAGGAUCGUUUGCCGUACUAUCAAGGGGGGCUCUCAAGUUGGUAGCUUGAUCGUAUUGUUAGUAGAGAGCUCAAACCAUU
rnacentral:lncRNA from 1 species